AAAAUUACAAUGAAGUGAUGUCCACCUUUCCGAAAGUUAAAGGCUUGAAUGGGUAUGAUUAUUACCUGUACCAAGGCUUUUGGUACGCUCCCUUCUUCUUGGAAGGACUCAUGUCUGUUCAAGAGGGCUUCAAUCCUCAAUCCACUGAUAUAUUUGUCGCCAGUUUUCCAAAAACUGGCACAACUUGGCUUAAGGCCCUCACUUUUGCUAUUGUCACACGAUCCCGUUUAAGUGGUUCAACAACUAGUUCUUUACUUACCAAGAUGCCACAUGACUGUGUUCCUUUUUUGGAAUAUGACCUUGCUCAAAACCCCAGUAAUCGGGACUUGGCAAUUCCUCUGGUAUCUACUCAUGUUCCUUACACUUGUUUACCUAAAUCUAUCAUUUCUUCUAGUUGCAAGAUUAUUUACAUUUGCAGGGACGCAAAGGAUGCUUUUGUUUCUUUGUGGUACUUUCUUGCCAGGCUGCAAAUGUCGAAAAAUGUUGAACCUCUUCCUCUGGAAGGGGCAUUUGAGUUGUUUUGCAAUGGAAUUGCAAAUUUUGGACCAUAUUGGGACCAUGUUUUAGGGUAUUGGAGAGCAAGCUUCGAGUUCCCUGAGAAGAUAUUGUUCUUGACAUAUGAGGAAAUGAAGCAAGACACAGCUGCUCAUGUUAAGAAAUUAGCUGAGUUCAUGGGUUGUUCUUUCACCUUAGAGGAAGAGGAGGGAGGGGAGGUGCAAAAGAUAAUAAGCAUGUGUAGUUUUGAGAAGUUGAGCAGCUUGGAGGUCAAUAAAAAUGGGAAGCACCGUCCGGACACAUCACUUGCUAUUCAAAACAGUGUAUACUUCAGGAGAGGUGAGAUAGGCGACUGGGCAAAUCACUUGACACCUGAAAUGGGAGCACGUCUAGAUGACAUAAUGGAGCAGAAACUCAAGGGUUCAGGCUUGAAGCUGCCCAGGUGACUGUGCCUAGGGUCCCAUUUGCUUAUGAUUAUUGCCCAAGCGGGUUCAUCAAAAGCUGUUAUCAACAUCUCGUGAAACAGAAACUGUGUAUCCCAAUAAAUACCCUCUUUGUUCAUCUCUUGUAUUUCCUAUCAAGUAUUCACAUUUUGUGAAUCAUCCAUGUCAAUAAGCAAUGUUCUUUUGUGAAUCUGUGUUUGUGACUUUCAUUGAUUUCCUUGCAUGCUUGUAAGAAUUCAAAAUGGGAUUCGUUUUUUUAUUUAUUUAUUUAACACAAGUGCAUGCAUUCCAUUAAUCAGUUGGAUAAAAAAUAAAUUUACUCUAAUAUAUAAUAUUAGAGUGUUUUCUUCACAGAAAUUGCAGUGUGUUUUCUUCACAGUUAUACAUGUUUUAAAAGAACCGAGACAACCCAUACAUGAGGGCGGAGCAAAGACCAACCGAGACAACCAUCCAUUAAGAUUGUUGAAUUGCAGAUCAAAUGAACGUAGGCGGCACAUCUGCUGGAAGGAUCUCGAAAUGCCUUGUAAUUGGUUAAAAUAAAGAUCAAGAUCUGUAGGAGAACUCGUGUUUUCCACUCCUAAAAUAAGCCCAGUUGCCGGCUUCAUGUGCAACAGAGGCACAUAGAGAAUCUGAAAGCAGUUUUUAUGCACUAUCAGCAGAAUAAUUUGAUCAGUCAGAAUGAAAACCCCCCCCCCCAGGCUCACAAAUCUUCUUACUUCAAACAAAUCUUUUGGAACCGAUAUAUAUGUCGAGUGAUGGCUUGAUUUAUACCGGAGAUUGUGUUGGAAAAUUAAAGAAGCAUGGCUUAAUUUGUACCUUGGAUGCGCAAAUUGAUUACAGGGAAAAAAUGACAGAAAGUGAGUUGCAGGGAAUGAAAAAGGCAUUAGUAAACUCAACACCUUUCAGGGUAUCGUUCCUUGGUUUGCUCCCUUUUAUUUCUUAUUUUGUUUUUCCUGCCAUUGUCUAAUGUUUUUCUAACUCGCAGUCUGGUCUCUGCAGAGAAUGAGAAAGCACAAACUCUUUAAGAGAAGAUAUUCUCCGGCAAUGGCAUCAAACAGAAAAGUCCGACGUCAACUAAGUGAGUGUAUAGCGUUGCUGCUGUGUUUACAGAAAAACACCAUUGUCAUGUGUUUGGUUACGGUCUAAACAUAAUUUUUUAUCGGUGAGACCCAUUACCAUUUGCAUUUAAACCGCAAGAUAACCAGAAGCAACUUUAAGCUGCGUUUUGUUUUGAGUUGCAAAUUGUGUUAUAAAUAGAGGCCACAAGAAAAAGAGCAGAAACAGAGCAGUGAAUAGUGAUUAGUGGAGAGCAACUCCCUCUCACCACUGACCUCCGCCAGCCACUGCUUUUUCUCUUCUCCUUCUCUUCUCGUUCUCCUUCGUCUUCUGCAUUCUCUACUGUUCACGUGAACAAUGGAGAGUGGAGAGCAGCUCACCAUCAACCCCUGCUGUUUCCACCGCCAGCCACUGCUCUUCCUCUUCCCCUUCUCCUUCGUCUUUUACGUUCUCCACUGUUAAUGUGAACAGUGGAGAGCAGCUCACCACCGGCCUUCACUAUUUCCACUGCCAGCCACUGCUCUUCCUCUUCCCCUUCCCCUUCUCCUUCCCCUUCUCCUUCUCAUUCAUCUUCUGCAUUCUCCACUGUUCAUGGCCGGACUGGGCCUAGCCCAAACCUAAAUGUAUUUGACUGGGUCCGACCCAGUAAAAUAAAAAAAAAUCCAAAUUUUUUUUCUUAAAUAUUGUGUUUUAUUUGAAAAACUAGUGUUUAAAAUUAUUCAAUGACACUACAUAAUUAUAUUAGAAGGAGAUCGCACGAUGACGUAGCAUGUGCAGAAUUUGAUUGCAAUCCUAAUUUUUUUCCUAAUGAUAUUUUACAUGAUGUAAUGAUAUCUUACCUGAUGUUGGUGCAAGUUCAGGAAGCCAUGGAAACUGUAGUUCUUGUCGGAUGGAUUUCGUAUAUGAUUGAAUUGCAAAUAGUUUAAUGGAACAAUAAAAAAUACUUUAUAUAAAGUAUUGUUUAUUUCAUGAUGUAAUAGCAGUAGUUAAAUCUAUAAUAUUUCAAUUAAAAACCAUCAAUAUUAAUAUAUGUCUUUUUUAGUUAUUUUAUAACCUCAAUUUGAAAAGUAUUCUUUAACCAAACACAUUAAACUACUUUUUGUUCAACCUCAAUUUCAACCACAGUUUUAACCAAACAUAUAUUUUUCCAAACUAAUCUAAACUAAAAGUAUUUUUUAUAAAAACAAUUUUUUUCAAACCACAACAGCUACCACAAUACCAAACACACACAAAAAAAACUGUACUGAUAAGUAAGUUACAAUGCCACCACUGAUUUAGGAUCUGCUUUAGAUCUUAUAAGGUGAAAGUUGAAAGCUAGCAAGAAUCGUCACAGAGAUGAACAGAGAAGUGAAUAGAAUUAGAGGGAGAUACUGCAAUGCAGAGGAAGAAGAAAAACAUUUCUGUGUAUAUUCACUUAUAUUUUUUUACCAGCGCUGUUACAUUCAUUUUAUAUGAACCAAGAUGAGAAGCUUGUUUACGUAAUCUAAUCAACAGUAACAGACUUUGUUAACUGUCUAACAAUAUUAACAAACUUUCUAACCAUUGUAUUCUCUAUUCUCUUGACAGGUGGCAGAAGCAGAGCCUUUGAUAUCUUGACAUUCCCCCUCAAUCACAAGCGUGAAGGAACCAAGCAUAAGAUUGGAACAGUGACGCCGAAAUAAAGGAGUGGAAAGACCUUUAGUUAGGAUAUUAGCAAAUUGAUCGGUAGAAGAGACAUGUUGAACCAACAAAUCACCUUUGACAACACGUUCUCAAACAAAAUGAUAAUCAAUUUGGAGAUGCUUCAUUCUGGAAUGGAAGACUGGAUUGGAAGCAAGGGAAAUAGUUGAGAUAUUGUCAUAAUGAAUUAACGGAGGGAUAUGUAAAGGAAUGUGAAUGUCACAGAGCAGUUGGCGAAUCCAGGCAAGUUUGGCAGCAGCAAUUGCUAGAGCCCGAUACUCAACCUCAGUAGAUGAUCGAGAAACAAUAUGUUGUUUCUUAGAAGCCCAAGAAAUAGGACUGGAGCCGAGGAAAACAAUAGAGCCAGAGACAGAACGUCGAUCAUUGGGAUCGCCAACCCAGUCAGCAUCACUAUAAGCUUGUCGAUUAAGAAGACUAGGCUGAAAAUGAAGGCCAAAAUCAAGGGUACCUUUAAGAUACCGCAAGAUUCUUUUGACAGCCACAACAUAAGAAUGCAUGGGAUUAUGCAUAAAUUGACAAGCUCGGUUCAUAGAGAAAGCAAUAUCGAGCCUGGUGAACGUGAGAUACUGCAAUGCGCCAACUAUGCUCCGAUAUUGUUGUGGAUGAGAGUAGGCUUAGCCAUCAUCUUUGAGCAAAUGAUGAUGAGGAAGACAAGAAGUAUCAAAUGAUUUGGAAUUUUGUAAAUCAACUCUAGCAAGUAAGUCUGUGAUAUAACUUAUCUAGGACACAAACAAACCAGAAGGGAGAUAAGAGAUUUGCAAUCCCAAAAAAUAAUUCAACUUACCGGUAUCCUUCAUAUCAAAUUUCUGAGUCAAGGCAGCAAUGACUGAAGAAAGAAGAGAAUAAUGACUGCUAGUAAGAAUGAUAUCAUCUAAAUAGAGUAGCAAUAUCACAACACUAAGAGAAGAAUGCUGAACAAACAAAGAGGGAUCGACAAGAGAUGCUUGAAACCCCAAACAUGGUAAAAAAACUGGUAAAACGUUCAUUCCAGGCACGAGGAGCCUGUUUAAGGCCAUACAAGGACUUUCUUAGUCUGCAAACAAAGUUAGCAGGAUAAAGCUUACUCAUAAAACCUUGGGGUUGAGUCAUAUAAACCUCCUCAUGAAGAAUACCAUGCAAAAAGGCAUUGGUAACGUCAAGCUACCGUAAGGACCAGUUAAACUGAGCUGCAAGAGUAAGAAUUAAACGAACCAUAGUAGGUUUUAUGACAGGACUGAAAGUUUCAUUAUAGUCAAUUCCUUCCUCUUGAAUGAAACCCUUAGCCACCAAUCGAGCUUUAUGCCUAGCUAUAGAACCAUCCGCAUGCUUCUUGAGUCGGUAGACCCAUUUACAGCCAACAAGAUUCUUAGCAGGUGGGAGAGGCACCAAAUCCUAAGUACCUUAUGCAUGAAGAGCAUCAAUUUCCUCCCACAUAGCAGACUGCCAUUCUGGAAAGGUUGAAGCAGCCUUGAAGGAACUGGGUUCAACCUGAGAAAAAGCAACAGACUAUACAGAGGUAAAGUAAGCCUUUCUUUUGGAAAUACCAUUCUUAAACCUGAUGGUCAUUGGAUGAAGAUUCAUCGGUGAAAGAGGUAAGACCACACACAGAUUCUCAGGUUGGAAGUCAGGAUCAAAUCUAGUGACAAAGAAGCGAUUGGUUUGAAUAAAAAAACAGAAAUACCCUUUAUACUGACCAGCAUACCCCAGAAAAAUACAAGUGGAAGUUUUGGGCUGAAGUUUGUUAGUAUUAUAAGGCUUGAGUAAAGGAAAACAAGCACAACCAAAAAUCCACAAAUGAGUAAUGACCAGUGGAGAACCAUAUAACAGGAAAUAAGGUGAUUUGAGUUGAAGAAUUUGACAGGGCAUUCUAUUAAUCAAAUAAAUAGAAGUAGCACAAGCACGAAACCAAAAUUUUGGAGGUAAAUGGGCAGUUUGUAACAGAGUGAUGGCUGUUUCUAAAAUAUACCUAUGUUUGCGCUCAGCAAGGCCAUUCUGUUUCGGAGUAUAGGGACAGGACAUUUGAUGGACAAUACCCUUGGUAAAGAGGUAAUGUUUGAAUUUAGUACUAAGAUACUCACCACCCCCAUCACUUUGAAAGACUCGAAGAGUAGCAGAAAAUUGAGCAACUAAAAAGGUAUGAAAGUAGGCAAAAAUGGAAUAAACCUCUCCUUUAUUGAUCAUCAGAAAAAACCAAGUAAAUCGAGUACAUUCAUCAAUGAAACUAACAUAAUAUCUGAAACCUUCAACAGAUACAGUGGGAGAAGAACCCCAAACAUCACUAUGUAUGACCUCUCAAGGUUUAACAAAUUUAACUGCGGGAUAGGGAAAAGGAAGUUUAGCAAGUUUACCCUCUAAAAAAGUGGUACAAACGAAUUUGGAUGUGUUUGAAGUGAAAGAAAUCUGGGAUUGAUUUAACAGAGUAGAGGUGACUAUGUUAGAGGGAUGACCAAAACGCUUGUGCCAGAGACUUGUGUUGACCUGUUUACCAAGAUAGCAAACUUGAUUAUUUUGAAAGAGAGAUUAUGAAGGAAACGAAAUGGAGAAAGGAAUAGGAUAUAACCCAGCUCUACACAGUCCCUUGAGAAGGACAUUUCCCAUGAAUUUGUCCUGAAUCCAAAAACCAAAAUCAUCACAAAUAAAUCGACAGUUGUUAUCUUUACACAACUUAUGAACCGAUAAUAAGUGUUGAGAUAGCUUAGGCACAUGCAAAACUUGCUUUAAUUGUAAUGAGCAUUGAUGAACAUCUAAAAUAAAAGAACCAAUAUUAGAAAUGGUCAAACUUGAACCUCCUGUAGUGGUAACAGUAUCAGAUCCUGAGAAAGGUGUAGCCAGAUUGAGUUGAGCCAAAUCAGAAGUCAUAUGUGUUGUGGUGCCAUUAUCAGCCAGCCAUAAUUGUUCAGGAGGGGAAGAAGAUGGAAAAUUGGCAUGCAUAGCACUAAGAUUACUGGAGGGAGGCCUGCCUUGAUAGCUGAAAUUACCUCUAUGAUAACAUUGAACGGCAGAGUGCCCAAAUUUUCAACAAAUUUGACAUUGAAUGGAAGUGGCAAAAGUACUUAGCAGAGUGUGGCGUUGAUAACAAUUAGCAGCUACAUGACCUUUUUUAGUACAAAUUUGACAUGUAGGAAUGUCAAUGCCAGAACCAAGAAUGCCAGGAUUAGAAGUAGGUGGAACCUAAUAAGGGCGUGGACUAGAUUGAUAAUGAUUACGUCCUCUGCCAUAACCCUUAAAAUUAAACCCCUGAUUGCCAAAGUAUCCUCCAGUAGAACCAUGAAAGCUACUGUGAUGACCAUUAAAUCCUCCAUUGAAACCAGAAGGAAAUUAAGAUGGUGGAGCAGACUUGGAGCUAGAAGGAUGAGAAUUAGAGUUACCUUUAUCAAGAGCAAGAGCCUUGCCAGGAGAUAUUUGAUGUUGAGCCAUCACUGCAGGAACAAACAGGGAAGCAGAAUAAGUUUGCUCAAGAAUGGCUUCUUCAGCUAGCAAUUGAGACCGAAAAUCUUUAAGGGAUAACACGUUGUCUCGGUCGCGAACAAUACACCUAAAGGUGUUAUAAUUAGAAGGAAGACCAUUGAGAGCCAAGAUUACAAUAUCAUCAUCUUCAAAAUAAACCCCUGCUACAGAAAGAUGGUCUCGAGCAUCUUUGAUCUUUUACAGAUAUUGAGACACAGAAUCUGAGCCCUUCUUGAUGGUUUGAAGCUCACUUUUCAUCUGAAAAAUAUGUGCCUUAGUAAUUGUGGAAAAUCUAUUCUUCAGUUGAAUCCACAUGUCAUGAGAGCUAACACAUUCAAUAACAUAGGAGAUUGCAGUUGAUGAGAGAGUAGCAAUAAUCAACUGCAUCAAUGUCCGGUCAUACAUUUUCCAAACCUGAUGAUCAUCAGUUUCAACACAUUCAAGGUCAGCAUCUGCAUCAAACCGAUUUGGACACUUUCUUGAUCCAUCAACAAAUCCUAAAAUACCAUAACUCUCAAGUAGAAUAUGCAUAUGAAAAUUCCAGAUGAGAUAAUUUGUGUCAUCCAGCUUGACUGUUACAGCUGUUGAAACUGUAGGAAGUAAACAGGUAAUAGGAGAUUGAACAAUUUAAAGUUGAGAAGUAGUCACCAUUUUAGAGUUCAAGAGAUAGCGAGGAAGAGAAUCACAUACGAUAGGCAUAGUCCCAGAUUUGAGAAGAGAGUUGAAGAAGAAUUUUUCAGUUUGACAAUAUAUCAAAUAGAUGAUAGGUAGAUCAAUUAUUAUGAAAGAAUUGGUUGAUUAAGGCGAUAAUAAUACCAGAAACAGAGAGUAGCAAGAUAUUAGAAGCAGAGAAAUCACAGGAUCACAAGAUAAUAACAAUCCUAAGCUCUGAUACCAUGAAAGCUAGCAAGAAUCAUCACAAAGAUGAACAGAGAAGUGAAUAGAAUUAGAGGGAGAUACUGCAAUGCAGAGGAAGAAGAAAAACAUUUCUGCAUAUAUUCACUUAUAUUUUUACCAACAUUGUUACAUACAUUCAUUUUAUAUGAACCAAGAUGAGAAGCUUGUUUACGUAAUCUAAUCAACAAUAACAGACUUUGUUAACUAUCUAACAAUAUUAACAAACUUUUUAACCAUUAUAUUCUUUAUUCUCUUGACAGGGCAGAAGCAGAGCCUUUGAUAUCUUGACAAAAGUAAAACACAAGGAAAUGCAUGCAUGCACACCACUAAUCUUUGAUUCUGGCGAGAACAGUGAUGACUACACUCUGAACCAAAUAGAAUUACAUUCCGAGAUGAAGAAAUUAAUAACACAGAGCAGUGCUAUAAAGCUACAUGUGAAACCAGAGAUUAAUAAGCAAUGCUGAAAAUUUUAUCAAGCAUAAGACGAGAGAAGCAUAGGACAUAUUUUUCCCACAAUUGAAUAUGUGAAUUGAGCACAGAUUUCCCUGUUGCAAACUGUUCCUAAUUUCUCAAAUGAUUAACUAGAAUACGAGUUGCACUUAAAAUUUUAAAGCAACAUAUAUGCUCUUGAUUUUUAGUGAAUUGCUGAAACAAACAUACAAGCUCGAUCACACCUCUAGAACAGAGUGACAGUUCAUGGUGACCUCAAAGACUGCAUCAAGUCCUCCAAGCUCUCGUAACUUUUCCCUAAAGCCCCCCCCAGUCUUCCUUAAUUACCAUGCCAGAUGUAUCUGAAUGAAUGCAACCCAUACAGUGAAAUGAAUAAGCAAUCAGAAAAGGAGAGAGAGAGAGUGAAAAAAUUUGUCACAAAACUAGAUAAUGGCGACCACAUAUCAAUAAUUCGAGAUAUGACGUGGGGCACUUUCAUCGUGAUUAUUGUUUGUCCAAUAAUGUUGGAUGUAUUAUUUCUUGUUAAGACUUUUUAGGUUGUGAAAAGUCCAAGAUGUAGUAUAAUAAAAUAAAUAUAACCUUUGAUUUUAUCAUUUAUAUUGAGCUGAAAUUUUGACAUACAAUUCUAAAGAUUUUGUGGUUAAAAUUUCAAGAUCUUAAAAAAAAGACCUUUAAAUAAGGAUUUAAAGUUACUAUGAGAUGGUCUUUAUUUACCUAUUUGGUAUUGUUUUUAUUUAUAUUAGGAAUUUUAAUUUAAUUAGUAUUUUAUUAUUAAAAAAUUCUAAUAAUAGAUUGAUUCUAUUAGUUAGGCAAGUUUUAAAUACAAUUUAUUUUUCUAUACAAAAUUUUAUAUCUAGAACAAAUAUAAAUAAAAAUAUUUAGUUUAUUUUUUGUUCGGGUAUUCAUAUUAUUAUUAAGAUUUUUUAAAAAUAUUUAGAGAUUUUUUUUUAUUUCGCUAUUGUGUUAGGACUAUAACCUUAAGGUUUGGAUGUUUGUGAAAGUGGAAGCGGUUACUUUUUAAAAUGUUUUUCACUUAGAAAUGCAUCAAAAUCAUAUAUAUAUUUUUUAUUUUUUAAAAUUAAUUUUUGACAUCAAAACAAUGCAAAAACACCAAAAAAUUAAUUUGAAAAAAAAUCAAAAAUUUUGAAAACCUCGAUCAAAAUGUUGUACCAAACACCCUCUUAGUUUUAUCUUAUUUUUAAAAAAUAAUUCUUGAUAUUAGCAAACAAAACAAUUUAAUAACACAAAAAAAUUAAUUUUAAAAAAUCAAAAUCUUAAAAAACUCUCGUCUAAAUGUUUGCUUUUAGUUUUAUCAUCGUUGCACUGCGUAAAGAUGCUAAAAAGAAAAUAGUUGAUAUAGCCACCUAAGUGCUGGUGGUGUUUCAGAGUGUAGUAGCGAUUGUUUUUUAAAGUGUUUUUUACUCGGAAAUGCAUUAAAAUAAUAUUUUUUUAUUUUUAAAAAAUUAUUUUUAACAUCAGCAUAUCAAAAUGAUCUGAAAAUACUGAAAAAAAUAUUAAUCUAAAUUAAAUAAAAAAAUAAAAAAAAAUCAAUCUCUUUUAAAAAUAUUUUUAAAAUGCAGAAACAAACAGGAUCUCUCAACCUGCUACAAAUAACUGCUGCAAUGGCCUUUCUUUAAUAUUUUACUUACACCAUUCUGCACAAUAUUUUCUUUUGUACAUCCAUGGAACCCUCUUUGCCUUCUACACAAAUUCAAAGCCCAUGCUAAAAACUACAAGGAAAUGAUCUCUACCUUUCUACAAGUUAAAGGCUUUUGGUACUUUCCGUCCUUCUUGGGAAGACCCAUCUCAGUUCAAGAACACUUCGAGCCUCAAUCCACUGAUAUAUUUGUCGUCAGCUUCCAAAAACGAAGGAAAUCUUUGGUUAAUGUUCUCUAAUAAGUACUAACACCUUUUCUCCUUCAACAGUGAAAUUUACGUGCCUUUCACACCUUUUUACGUUCGAACAUUUCAUUUGUUCUUGUGCUCUAAAUUCUAAAUUGAGUCUGUUUUUGUGAGUUCCAUUCUUCUAUUUAAAAGAUUAGAAAACGCAAGAUUGCAUCAAUGCUAAAUGCAAUUUCAAUAUCUGUGUGUGUGUCAAAUGCAUGGUGAUGUUACAUGAUGUGUUUGUUUUUACGUUUCAAAAAUAUUUUUUUAAAAUUAAAUUUUAUUUAUUUAUUUUUUAUUUUAAAUUAAUAUUUUUUAGUUUUUUCGGAUUAUUUUAAUUUACUGAUAUCAAAAUUAACUUUUUUAAAAUAAAAAAAAUAUUAUUUUAAUACAUUUCUGAGUAAAAAAUACUUUGAAAAGUAACUGCUACUACACUUCCAAAUAUACCCUUAAAAAAACAAAGUUAUGGAGUUGGAGGCUCUAAAUAUUCCUCAAAAUAUCAAGUCUUAAGGGCUCGGAGCUAUUAUCCAGUCUUAAAAUUUUUGCAUUUUAAAAAUAUUUUUAAAAAAAUGAAUAUUUUUUACUUUUUUUUAUUUUAAACUAUAUUUUUUUCUUUCUGUUUUUAUAUUGUUUUUAUGUAAAAAAUAAAUUUUAAAAAAUAUAAAAAUAUUUUUUUAAAAACAAUCACCAUACAAUAACAAAUAAAAUAUUAAUAUGAAAUAAAAUCUAAUUCUACCAGCAGACAGCUGAUAAGAAUACUAAAAAAGUGUAAAUUUUGACUUAAUUCAAUUAUUAGAAUUUGGGGCAGCGUAACAGUGUCAAAGAAAAUGUCAGAAAAGUAGGGCAAACAGUGCAAAUACCUUGGAUGAUGGUGACCAAAUAUUUGUAAUUUGAGACAUCUCGUUCUUGAAAAGAAAUAGUUAAUAGUGCCAAUAAUUUUUUUUUAUUAAUUUGAGGUGUUCAGACCAGUUUGCAUGCACCUCGACUAAUACUUACGGUUCUUGAAGUUAACGAAUAAAUAAGCCUCCAGUGGCCAUCAAUAUUAACAACUACAAGGCUCGAACUUGAGACCACAGGGGGGCAAACCCCUUGAUCCAAAACUCUUACCACUUGACCACCUACUAGAUGGUUAGUACCAAUAAUUAAUUUGCUCUCAACUUGCUACAAAUAGCUGCCAUGAUCACAUAUUCAAGAAACACUAGUUUAAGAGCUUGGGAUCAAGAGGUUUGCUCCCUCUGUAGUCUCAGGUUCAAGCCCUGUGGUUGCUCAUAUGAUGGCCACUGGAGGCUUACAUGGUCGUUAACUUCAGGGCCCGUGGGAUUAGUAGAGGUGCGUGUAAGCUGGCCCGGACACCCACGUUAAACUAAAAAAAAAAAAACACUAGUUUAUAAACCCUGAGGGGUAGCUCAACUGGUUAGAUUUUGAGUAUGUUUCCUAAUAAUCACGAGUUUGAGUUCUUUUAGGCCAACUGGAGGCUUACAUAGUUUUAAACUUCAGGACUCGUGAAAUUAGUAAAGGUACAUACAAAUUCAGUGGUGGAGCCAGAAAUUUUUAAAUGAGGAGGCAAAUUACUAACAAAUAUUUGAUAUUAUAUGCUAUACAUAUAUAUGUUAUAUAUAGAAAUGAAUUUGAAAUACAUGUGCCUCAAGUCAAGCAAAAUUAAUUUAAGAAUACUUUUAAAAUGAAAAAAACUUAUGUUAUAAUUGUUUUCUUCGAGAUUUUAUAUUUUAAAACUGCUUCAUAAUAAUUUUAUUUUUAAUUUCAUUAAAAAUAUAUUUCUCAAUAUAUACAACAAACUUUCAUUUAUCUAUUUCUAAAUCUUCCAAGUACUAGGAAAGUUGUUGACAACAAUUUUAUGCUGACAUAUGGUACAUAACAUCUAAAAUCAUAUCUUAAAAGAAUUGUCAUAAAUUGAAGUUGUUCUUACUGACUUGUUGUUUUGUACAAGUAGAUUAAAUAUAAAUAUUAAAUGUUUUUUUAAAUUUAUCUAUUAUGUCUCUAAUUUUUUUAGUUGUCUUAUACUUCAUUUUUAAUCAUUAGUAAAUUCAUUAUCAUCGUUUUUCAUAUGAAAUUCAUAACAAAACUUAUCAAUUCAUCAAAACUCAUUUCAAUUCAUAUCCAUUAGCAUAUAAUAUUACCCAUACACAUAUUAAUUCAACAAACCCAUAAAUUAUUAUAAACCCUAACAUUUUUAAUAACUAAUUUUUGGAGAUGUAGACCCAGUAUUUUUGGAGCUUCCAUAUCUAGUUGACCUAUCAGGAAGAGAUGAAGUUAACGUUUGGGAAUGCGGUGCAAACCAUGUUCCCCUAAAAUUAAAUUUUUUUUUGUUAAAAAUUAAUUUUUUGGUAUAUUUUGGAUCGUUUUGAUGCGCUGAUCUCAAAAAUAAUUUUUAAAAAAUAAAAAAACAUCAUUUUGAUGCAUUUCGGCACAAAAAAUACUUUGAAAAGCAACUGUAACCACACUCCUAUACAAGUAAAGUCUCUAACAGCACAAGUAUAAAAAAUAUAACUGCUGGGCAAACCAACUCUUUUCUCAAACCCAUCAGUUGCCUCAUGAUAUAUAUAUAUAUAUACACAUAUAUAUAUAUAUAUAUAUAUAUAUAUAUACACACACACACCAUGCAUAGAAUUCAUGGAUAAAAGAAAGGAAUUGGAUCUGAUUUGAGGUGGGGGGAUUGCCCCCUCUUGCCUUUAUGUGGCUCCGCCACUAUAUAAAUUAGUUUGGAUAUUUACAUUAAUUAAAAAAAAAAUACUGGUCUAGAAAAGCGAUCUACAAGGUGAUUAUUUAGUUGACUAAUUGAAUCUGUUUUUUAUAAAAAAAAUAUUUUAGAAGAUAAUUUUUAAUAAUUUUAGAUUUUUUUAUAUAUAAAUAUCAAAAAUAAAAUUAAAAAAAUAACAAAAUAUUAUUUUAAUAUAAUUUUAAAUAAAAAACACAUUUAAAAAAACUUAAUAGUAUACUCUCAACCAAGGUUGUCAAUUCCGUUUCGGUAGGUGUUUCGUUUUUUUAAUUGGAAUGGAAUGUUUCAGUUUCGGAGUGUUUCGGCGUGCCGUUCCGGGGUUGUACUGUUCAUAUAUAUAUAUUCAACAAACAUAAUUCAAAUUCAAGAUAAAUUAAUUAUAAAUUAUGCAAUACAAACACAAUGCCAAACAAAUAUAAUUUCAAAAUUUAAAAUAUUUCUAAAUAGUCAAGAUUAAAUAGAUCUUUACCUUAAAGUAAUUCAACUUAAACAAAAUAUCAAAAUAUUAUGAAAGUAAAAUGUUUUAACAUAAAUAUUUUAAAUAUAAAGUUAGGUCAAUGUUAUCAAGGCUAAUUGAAUCUAAAGCAUCCCUUGGUUUGCUCAAAUUUCUACAAAGUAUAAACAUGAAAAAAAAACAUGAAUAUAAACCUUAUAUAUUAGUGAUAAAUCUAAUUUUAAAAAAUUAAUAUCAUUGUUAAUGAAAAUAGUAAUAAUAAUUUUCAAUAUUAUUAUUAAUAUCAUUGUUAUUGAAAAUAGUAAUGAAAAAGAGCCUUUUAUAAUUGGGUGAUUUAAUUAAUUAAAUUGAACAAAAUUCAAUUUGAUUCAAUGGAUUUUCAAGAACGGAACGAAACAAGUGGAAUGAAACCGGAACGUUCCGGGUGGAAUUUAGCCGAAAAAUACAGAACAGACCGAGAUUUAAAAUAAAAUGAAAUUUAUUUUAUUUUUUAAAUUGGUAUGAAAUAUUUCGUUUAUUUCAUACGAAACAAAACAGAAUUGACAACUUGCUCUCAAGCACCCAAAAUAGAGGAUUCAAUUGUAUUGUGGGUUCCACACCAUUUAAAGCUUGCAAAGAAGGAUUUGAAACACAAUCACACUAAAGAUUUGCAAUGGAAUAUAAUAUAAAAUAAUACCCAAUGGCAUCAGCGGACAUGUAAUCAAUAAUAUUAAAAUACAGUAAAUUUUGAUUUAAUUCAAUUAUUGGAUUCUAGGCAGCGUGACAAUGUCAGAAAAUCUUGGAUGAUGGUGACCAAAUAUAUCAGUAAUUUGAGACAACACGUUCCCGAAAGGUAAUAGCUGAUGGUGCCAAAAAUUAAACCAGCUCUCAACUCGCUACAAAUAGCUGCCAUGGCCUUUCAUUCUACCUUAUAUUUCUUUUUUAACUUUCAUGGAAUCCUCUUUGCCUUCCUCCCAAAUCUUGGAUUCUGAUGGAAAUGCUGAGAGGAAAAAUGAAGCUAAAAAUUACAAUGAAGUGAUGUCCACCCUUCCAAAAGUUAAAGGCUUGAGGGGGGAUGAUUAUUACCUGUACCAAGGCUUUUGGUACGCUCCCUUCUUCUUGGAAAGACUCAUGUCUGUUCAAGAGCACUUCCAUCCUCAAUCCACUGAUAUAUUUGUCGCCAGUUUUCCAAAAACUGGCACAACUUGGCUUAAGGCCCUCACUUUUGCUAUUUUCACACGAUCCCGUUUAAGUGGUUCAACAACUAGUUCUUUACUUUCCAAGAUGCCACAUGACUGUGUUCCUUUUUUGAAUUAUAACCUUGCUCAAAACCCCAGUAAUCGGGACUUGACAAUUCCUCUGCUAUCUACUCAUGUUCCUUACAGUUGUUUACCUAAAUCUAUCAUUUCUUCUUGUUGCAAGAUUAUUUACAUUUGCAGGGACGCAAAGGAUGCUUUUGUUUCUUUGUGGUACUUUCAUGCCACGUUGCAAAGGUCGAAAAAUGUUGAGCCUCUUCCUCUGGAAGAGGCUUUUGAGCUGUUCUGCAAUGGAAUUGCAAAUUUUGGACCCUACUGGAACCAUGUUUUAGGGUACUGGAGAGCAAGCUUGGAGUUCCCCGAGAAGAUACUGUUCUUGACAUAUGAGGAAAUGAAGAAAGACACCGCUGCUCAUGUUAAGAAAUUAGCUGAGUUCAUGGGUUGUUCUUUCACCCUAGAGGAAGAGGAGGAAGGGGAGGUGCAAAAGAUAAUAGGCAUGUGUAGUUUUGAGAAGUUGAGCAACUUGGAGGUGAAUAAAAAUGGGAAGUGCCUUCUAGACAUAUCAAUUCCUAUUCCAAAUAGUAUAUUCUUCAGGAAAGGUGAGAUAGGCGACUGGGCAAAUCACUUGACACCUGAAAUGGGAGCACGUCUAGAUGACAUAAUGGAGCGGAAGCUCAAGGGUUCAGGCUUGAAGCUGCCCAGGUGACUGUGCCUGGGCCCCGUUUGCUUAUUAUUAUUGGCUUAGUGGGUUCGUCAAAAGCUGUUAUCAACAUCUCGUGAAACAGCAACCGUGUAUCCCAAUAAAUACCCUCUCUGUUCAUCUCUUGUAUUUCCUAGCAAGUAUUCACAUUUUGUGAAUCAUCCAUGUCAAUAAGCAAUAUUCUUUUGUGAAUCUGUGUUUGUAACUUUCAUUGAUUUCCUUGCAAGUUUGUAAGAAUUAAAAAUGGGAUUCGUUUUUUAUUUAUUUAUUUAACACAAGUGCAUGCAUUCCAUUAAUCAGUGAUAAAAAAAAAUAAAAUUACUCUACUAUAUAAUAUUAGAGUGUUUUCUUCACAGAAAUUGCAGUGUGUUUUCUUCACACUGCAAUACAUGUUUUAAAAGAACCGAGACAACCAUACAUGAGGGCGGAGCAAAUACCAACCGAGACAACCAUCCAUUAAGAUUGUUGAAUUGAAGAUCAAAUGAACAUAGGCGGCACAUCUGCUGAAAGGAUCUCGAAAUGCCUUGUAAUUGGUUAAAAUAAAGAUCAAGAUCUGUAGGAGAACUCGUGUUUUCCACUCCUAAAAUAAGCCCAGUUGCCGGCUUCAUGUGCAACAGAGGCACAUAGAGAAUCUCCCCCCCCCCCCCUCCAGGCUCAGAUCACAAAUCUUCUUACUUCAAACCAAUCUUUUGGAACCGAUAUAUAUGUCGAGUGAUGGCUUGAUUUAUACCGGAGAUUGUGUUGGAAAAUUAAAGAAGCAUGGCUUAAUUUGUACCUUGGAUGCGCAAAUUGAUUACAGGAAAAUAUCAAAAAAAAAUUUCCUUUCUUUAUAACUUAUGAAGAGUAAAAUAAAAAAAAAGUUAAUAGUAAAACAAAAUAACCCCAAGUGUACAUUAUCAAUGCAAAACUAGAUUUUUCCUUAUUUUAUAUCCCUUUCUUUUGAUAUACUUCUUCUUUUAUGCCCCUUUCUUUUGGUAUAUCUCUUCUUUGUAUCUUUUGGUGUUAAUCACUUUGUUGAAUGCCUCUGUUGAUAUCUUUUAUAACUCACUACAGUGAUUUGAACAUUGAAAAUGUUUCCUUUUAAAAAAAAAAAAUAGAGAAGGCAUUUUGAUUUCAUCUUCAAUUUUUCUGCAUGUCUUCUUCUUUCAAAGUAUUGGGUUUAAAACACAAUCAUGCUCUACAUCAUGCUUUGAGUUUUCCAGGUUAUUUUCAGAAAGAUUUGAUAUAUUUGACCUGAAAGAAAAAAAGGAUGUACAAAGCUUUGCAUUUCUGGAACGUCUUUUCAUCAUGCUCUACAUGAUUCAAUCACAUUGCUCACAUCUACAUGAGUAACCAGAAAAGCAAGUAUUUCAUCGGAUUCUACAUGAUUCGAUCACUUCGCUCACAGCUUUAUGAGUCUCUGGUGAUAUCGUGUUUAAUUAAAUAGAAUAUUUAUUAUAAGAAACAGAUUUAUCAAAUAUAAUUGAGUAUAUGCCUCAUCAUAUCAAAUAUUUUAAUUAGAUGUAACUAUCUAGGUGGUGGUUCAGUGGUAAAAGUUUGGGACCAAGAUGUUUGUUCCCUCUGUGGUCUCAGGUUCGAGCCCUGUGGUUGCUCAUAUGAUGGUCAUUGGAGGCUUACAUGGUCGUUAACUUCAGGGCCCGUGGGAUUAGUCAAGGUGCACGCAAGCUGAUCCGGACAUCCAUGUUAAACUAAAAAAAUAUAUAUAUUUUAAUUAGAUGCGUGUGUACAAGUAUUUUAAUUUAUGAUUAAGAAUUUUUUUAUAUCAAAAAAAAAUUAAAAAGUCUGUAUAUUUAUUUUUCCUUGUUAAAACAAUUAUCUGAAAUAGCCAGUAAUCAACUAACUAUGAAAGAUAAGAUUGAGAAUUGAGAAGUUUAUUUGUCAGCAGACAGUAGCUUCAGUAGAUGGAAAAAGACUCUCUAGAUCACCGGAUCAAUUCCCACCUUCAUGAACUAUUUUUUAUUAGUACAGAAAGCUUCAUAUCAGUCAAAACUCUCUCUCUCUCUCUCUCUCUCUCUCUCUCUCUCUAAAUGGAUCAGAGACUACACAAAUAUAGAGGUGGAGCUUCACAUUAAGCUUCAGAUCAAUUUUCUAUUUUAAAAUCUCAUAAGUUUGGUCCAUUGAUUGCCCUAGAUUGCCCUAGAUUUUCCUGUGUUUUAUAUCCUUUUCUUUUGACAUUUUUUUUAAUCUUUUUCCAGGCCAAAAUCCUAAUUUAAUGUUUGAAAUUGAGAUGAUAAUUAUUUAACUAGAAAAUAUAUUAAAAUAAUAUUUUUUAUUUUUAAAAAUUUAUUUUAAUCAUCACCACAUUAAAACAAUCUAAAAUUAUAUAAAAAAAUUAAAAUAAUAAGAUUUAAAAAUAUUUUUUAAACACAAAAACAAACACAAUCAUCACUCAUAUAUCAUGAGAUUUGCAUUUAGACAUUAAAAUUCAAGAAGAAAUUAAGUUCACCGUACUAUUAAUUCAGUCGAUGAAGGAUUAGUCCCAACUACUUUAGGCCACCAUUAAUUACUUUAUUUAAAUGUAUACUUCUUUAUUAAUUCAGUCGAUGAAGGAUUAGUCCCAACUACUUUGGGCAUUUUAACUCCAUCUUCAAUUACUUUAUUUAAAGGUAUCCUUCUUUCUUAGAUAUUGAAUUUUGAAAACACAAUCAUGCUAAAGAUUUGUCAACGAAUUGUUUUUUAAAAUAAAAAAAUAUUUUAAAAAAUAAUUAAUACCAUACUACCGAGCAAAUGAAGUUAUGUGGAGGGUUCCGCACCAUUUAAAGGUUGUAAAGAAAGGUUUAAAACACAAUGACGAUAAAGAUUUGCUAUCGAAUAUAAUAUGAAAUAAUAAUACCCAAUUGCAUCAGCGGACAUGUGAUCAACAAUAUUAAAAUUCUGUAAAUUUUGAUUUAAUUCAAUUAUUGGAAUUCCAGGCAGCGUGGCAAUGUCAGAAAAUCUUGGACGAUGGUGACUAAAUGUUUGUAAAUGGAGACGGCACGUUCGCGGAAGGUAAUAGUCGAUGGUGCCAAAAAUUAAAUCAGCUCUCAACUCGUUACAAAUAGCUGCCAUGGCCUUUCAUUCUACAUUAUUUUUUCUUUUUUCACAUUCAUGGAAUCCUCUUUGCCUUCCACCCAAAUCUUGGAUUCUGGUGAAAGUGCUGAGAGGAAAAAUGAAGCUAAAAAUUACAAUGAAGUCAUGUCCACCCUUCCAAAAGUAAAAGGCUUGAAUGGGUGUGAUUAUUACCUGUACCAAUGCUUUUGGUACGAUCCCUCCUUCUUGGAAGGAAUCAUGUCUGUUCAAGAGCGCUUCAAUCCUCAAUCCACUGAUAUAUUUCUCGCCAGUUUUCCAAAAACUGGCACAACUUGGCUUAAGGCCCUCACUUUUGCUAUUUGUACACGAUCCCGUUUAAGUGGUUCAACAACUAGUUCUUUACUUUCCAAGAUGCCACAUGACUGUGUUCCUUUUAUGGAAUAUGACCUUGCUCAGAACCCAAGUAAUCGGGACUUGGCAAUUCCUCUGGUAUCUACUCAUGUUCCUUACACUUGUUUACCUAAAUCUAUCAUUUCUUCUUGUUGCAAGAUUAUUUACAUUUGCAGGGACGCAAAGGAUGUUUUUGUUUCUUUGUGGUACUUUCUUGCCAGGCUGCAAAUGUCUGAAAAUGUUGAGCCUCUUCUUCUGGAAGAGGCUUUUGAGUUGUUUUGCAAUGGAAUUGCAAAUUUUGGACCCUACUGGAACCAUGUUUUAGGGUACUGGAGAGCAAGCUUGGAGUUCCCCGAGAAGAUACUGUUCUUGACAUAUGAGGAAAUGAAGAAAGACACCGCUGCUCAUGUUAAGAAAUUAGCUGAGUUCAUGGGUUGUUCUUUCACCCUAGAGGAAGAGGAGGAAGGGGAGGUGCAAAAGAUAAUAGGCAUGUGUAGUUUUGAGAAGUUGAGCAACUUGGAGGUGAAUAAAAAUGGGAAGUGCCUUCUAGACAUAUCAAUUCCUAUUCCAAAUAGUAUAUACUUCAGGAAAGGUGAGAUAGGCGACUGGGCAAAUCACUUGACACCUGAAAUGGGAGCACGUCUAGAUGACAUAAUGGAGCGGAAGCUCAAGGGUUCAGGCUUGAAGCUGCCCAGGUGACUGCGCCUGGGUCCCAUUUGCUUCUGAUUAUUGCCGAAGUGGGUUCAUCAAAAGCUGUUAUCAACAUCUCGUGAAACAGCAACUGUGUAUCCCAAUAAAUACCCUCUCUGUUCAUCUCUUGUAUUUCCUAGCAAGUAUUCACAUUUUGUGAAUAAUCCAUGUGAAUAAGCAAUGUUCUUUUGUGAAUCUGUGUUUGUAACUUUCAUUGAUUUCCUUGCAAGUUUGUAAGAAUUAAAAAUGGGAUUCGUUUUUUAUUUAUUUAUUUAACACAAGUGCAUGCAUUCCAUUAAUCAGUGAUAAAAAAAAAAAAAUUACUCUACUAUAUAAUAUUAGAGUGUUUUCUUCACAGAAAUUGCAGUGUGUUUUCUUCCCACUGCAAUACAUGUUUUAAAAGAACCGAGACAACCAUACAUGAGGGCGGAGCAAAUACCAACCGAGACAACCAUCCAUUAAGAUUGUUGAAUUGAAGAUCAAAUGAACAUAGGCGGCACAUCUGCUGAAAGGAUCUCGAAAUGCCUUGUAAUUGGUUAAAAUAAAGAUCAAGAUCUGUAGGAGAACUCGUGUUUUCCACUCCUAAAAUAAGCCCAGUUGCCGGCUUCAUGUGCAACAGAGGCACAUAGAGAAUCUGAAAGCAGUUUUUAUGCACUAUCAGCAGAAUAAUUUGAUCAGUCAGAAUGAUCCCCCCCCCACUAGGCUCAGAUCACAAUUCUUCUUACUUCAAACAAAUCUUUUGGAACCGAUAUGUGGAGGGAUGGCUUGAUUUAUACCGGAGAUUUUGUUGGAAAAUUAAAGAAGCAUGGCUUAAUUUGUACCUUGGAUGCGCAAAUUGAUUACAGGGAAAAAAAUGACAGAAAGUGAGUUGCAGGGAAUGAAAAAGGCAUUAGUAAACUCAACAGCUUGCAGGGCAUCGUUCCUUGGUUUACUCCGUUUUAUUUCUUAUUUUGUUUUUCCUGCCAUUGUCUUAUGUUUGUCUAACUCGCAGUCUGGUCUCUGCAGAGAAUGAGAAAGCACAGACUCUUUAAGAGAAGAUAUUCUCCGGCAAUGGCAUCAAACAGAAAAGUCCGACGUUAACUAAAUGAGUUCAUGGGUCUCUUGUCUGAAUAUAGAAGUGCAGAAACUAAGCUUGACCAAAAACCCCCAUGCUACCAACUACAACUCAACAAGCAACAAAUCAAAUGAAUUGUGAUCCGCCAGUAAACAGCGAAUGGACACUGCCCCAGCAAUAGAUCAUACAAGCUCUGACCAACCGGUCAAAGAUCACGAGGACCCUACCCACUGCCCACUGACUGACAAUUCAUCAAAUAGAUUUAUUGCCGUUCACCACCUUAUUUAGAUGUAUUUUUAAAUAAUAUCCGUGAACUCAAAAAAAAAUCACUCAAAUAUCUCCCUAGAAAACUGACCUUGAACUCUUAACUAGGAGAAAAACAAAGAGGAAAAAUAGAGCUUAUAACAUAGGAAACUACGCUGAAAACUGAGGUGAAAAAAAGUGUAAGAAAUUCUGUAAAAAUGUCCAGAAACACUUUUUAUCACUUUUUACAGAGGAUUUUGAAACCUAAACCAAUGUAGAUUUACUUUUAGUAAUUAUUAAAAAUUAAUUUUUAUCAUUAUCAAUCUUAAUUAUCCGUUAUAAAUUAAAAUUAACCUUAACCCUUUUAGCUUUAAAUAUAAUGCUUUGUUAGAAUUAUAAAAACCAUUCAAAUUGAAAAAAAUUGCUUAGGCUGAAAAAAGUGUUCAGACUCUAUAUUCAUUGACAGUACAAACUGAUGGAUUAGAAAGAAAAAAAAUAUAUAGGCCAAAAAAUUAUAAAUCCAAACCCAAGUUUAAAAUAUAUUGAUAAAAAUUAAUUAUUUAUAGUUUACAAUAAAAUCAGACUUGGGACAAGCAAGCCAAUUAAGCAUGGGACUUCAACUCAAAGUUUACUUUACUUAGGUUUUUUUUUUUAAUCUGAGUGUAUUUUAAUCCAAUUUUAAUUCUUUAUAUUUUUAAUAUAUAAUUAACAAUAAAAAUGUUGUUUUUUUUACGUGAAAUAAAGGUUUUGAAUUUCACAAAGAUAUAUUCAUCAACAAAAUUAAAUUUUUAUUUAUUUAUAAUUUAUUUUAAUUAUUUUAAUAUUUUAUGUUAAAGAGAUUUGGUUGGAGAAUAAGUUUCAAUAAAAUUUAAAUCCGAAAAAUAAGUAGAUUUUAUUUUUAAUUUUAUUUCAAAUAUAUUUAUUUUUUAUGUUUUAAAACAAAUUUUAUCUCAUCUAUGUAUGUAUAAAUAUAUAAUCACAAUUCUCAAUACAGCACUUAUAGUUAGUUAUCGAACGAAAGAAUGUUAUCUCUUUCAGUAUGCCACAGAUAUUCAAAACACGGCGGUCACCCUUAUUAGCUUGCAGUCGUCUAUCGAAGUAUUAUCGCCAAAUCCACAGAAGCAAGGCAAACCACAGUUUUCUCUAGUUAUAGGACUAGACGGUACUGCGCUAGACUGCAGGUUUACAAUAUUUUUUCGAUAAAAUAUUUAAAUCAUGAGAAAAUCAUGCAUGAUUAAAAGAGUAAAAUUCAAAUUAAAAAUAUCAAUACAUGACAAAAUAAAAUUAAAAAAAAUUAAAUAAAAUUUUUAUAAAAAAACUAGAAUAAAAGAGAGGACUGAAACCGAAAAAGUUUAAACAAAAAGGACAUACCUGCAAUUUGAGGGGGGGAGGGAGGAGGAGAAAAAAAAAGGUUCAUCAACAACGAACUGCUCGACCUUCACCUACAUGUAUCGCACCAUGAGAAAGAGGAAGCAGUGAUGCUUCCAACAACACAAUAAAAUGUUUAUUUUUACAACUAGAGGUAUUGCAUGCUAUACUUGAAGUGCUAGCUUUUUAAAUUUUAAUAUUAUUUAUUUUUUUGUUAAAAGAUUACAAUGCGCAAACUAAAAAGAAAAACAAUAUAAAAAGAUAAAGUAUAACCUUGACCUAAAGCUUUUCUUUUUCUUUUUACUUCAAGGAUAUUUAAGUAAGUUUAGUGUACAUUCAAAAGCAUUUAAUGAAAUACCCUUCGACCAAGGUUUUUUUUUUUUUUAAAGUAUAAGACACUUAACAAAAUAAUAAAUAACAAAAAUUAAAAACUUAAAAAGACAAAAAAUACCCUUCGACCAAGGUUUUUUUUUUUUACUCCAAAGCAUUUAAUGAAUCUCGCCCAUAACGACAGCAAGUCUUUAAAAAGUGGAUUUCCUGAUGAAACCUGGAUAGUAUCAGUGCCAGCUCGAGCUCAGAAUGCGGCAUCUAUUGAUUAACUUACCAGUUACCAACACAAGGAGACACACACAACAACUUUAAAAAGGGCAUUAUAUAGCUAAACAUUGAUUAUUAUUUUUAUUUCAUUUUUAAUAUUAUAUUAAUUUUAAAUAUAUAUAUUUUUAAUUUCUCCAUUCAAUAACAAGUUGAAAUUCAUAAUUUUAUUUAAUUCAUUUCUUAUAAUAAUUUUUUUCCCAUCGUUUAAUUAAAUAAAAUAUUUAUUAUAAAAAAUAAAAUUAUUAAACAUAAUUGAGUAUAUGGCUUGUAUUUUUAGGUUAAAUAUUGUAAUUAGAUGUGGGUAUAAGCAUUUUAAUUUAUAAUUAAAAAGAAAAACUAUAUCCAAAAAAGAAUUUAAAAAACCUGUAUAUUUAUUUUUCAAUUAUCUAACCUGCAGCAGUGAAGUGCAAUUGAAAUAGCUAGUAAUCUAACUAAAAAAUUUAAGAUAAGAUUAAGAAAUGAGAAGUUUAUUUGUCAGCAGACAGUAGCUUCAGUAAAUAGAAAAUAUAGACUGUACUGCUGCUGAUCCCGGGAUCAAUGCCCACCUUCAUGGAUUAUAUAUAUAUAUAUAUAUAUAUAUAUAUUCAAUGUGAGAUAUUAAGUCAUUUAGUACAUACUAGUUAGAUGACUUGUGCGGUGCUGCGAGUUAAUUUUUUUUGCAUAAAAAUAUAUAAAAAAACUAAAAUCUAAAAGUAUUAGGUCUUUUUGCAAAGUUAUACCCAAGAAUCUUGGGUUUGGCUGCAACGCCUGACCCAAGAGUAAUAUUUAUAAUAUUAAUUAUAACAUUAAACUUGCAUGACUCAAGUUUAAAUGAGUCUAGAUGCAAUACCAUACCCAAUAGUCUUGGAUGUGGGUCUGGCUGCAAGGUCGUGUAAUAAAAGUGUGAUAAUUAAAUAGAUUAAUUAAAAAUAAAAAAAACAAAGAAAAAAACAAACAUGAAGAAAAAAACUAAUGAAGAAAAAGAAAAAAAAUUUGAAUUAACUGGGUUAACCCUUCAAACCAGGUUAAUCCGUCAAACCUUGGAUUCGUGUCGUGAAAGUUUGAUAACUAAAUAAAAAAAAAAUGAACAUUAACAAACUAAAUUAAAUGAAAAAAAUAAUUAAAAAAAAAAGCAUCAGCCUUUUCACUGUGGACUGCACUGUGCAGUCCACAGUCAAAUGCAUAAAAACAACAAAAAAGCAAAAAGAAAAACUAAAGGCAUCAAUCGAUAACUAAAUAGAAAAAAAAUUUAAUAUUGAUGAACUAAAUUAAAUAAAAAAAAUUAAAUAAAAAGAAGAAAAAACUUAUAAGAAGAAAAAAACUAAUGAAGAAAAAGAAAAAAAAUCUAAAUUAACUGGGUUAACCCGUCAAACCUGAGAUCCGUGUCAUGAAAGUCUGACAACUAAAUAAAAAAAAUUUAAUAUCAAUAAACUAAAUAAAAAAAUUAAUUUAAAAAAAAGGCAUCAGCCUUUUCACCGUGGAUUGCACUGUGCAGUCCAUAGUGAAAGGCAUGAAAAUAAAAAAAACAAAAAAAAACUAAAGGCAUCAGCCUUUUCACUGUGGACUGCAUAGAAUAUUAAAAGAUGAAAUCGGAAGAACAAAACUAAUGAGGAAAAAGAAAAAAAAAAUCUGAAUCAACUAGGUUAAUCCGUCAAAUCAAGUUAACCCGUCAAACUUGAAAGUGUGAUAACUAAAUAGAAAAAAGAUUUAAUAUUAAUGAAAUAAAUUAAAAAAAGAUUAAUUAAAAAGGAAAAAAGCAAAGAGAAAAAAGACCAACAGGAAGAAAAAAACCUAAUGAAGAAAAAGGAAAAAAAUCUGAAUUAAGUGGGUUAACUGGUCAAACCUGGGAUUCGUGUCAUGAAAAUCUGAUAAUUAAACAGAAAAAAUUUAAUAUUAAGAAACUAAAUUAAAAAAAGACUAAUUAAAAAAAGACAAAAAAAAACUAAAGGCAUCAGCUUUUUCACUCUUAAAAAGGAAAAGAGAGAAAAAUAAAAACAAAAGCAAACGCCACGGGUUAAUUUUUUUUUUCUUGCAUAAAAAAUAUUAAAAAAAACUAAGAUCUAAGAGUAUUAGGUCUUUCUGCAAAGAUAUGCCCAAGAGCCUUUGGUUUAGUUGCAACGCUUGACCCAAGAGUAAUAUUUAUAAUAAUAAUAAUAAUAAUAAACUUACAUGACUCAAGUUUAAGUGAGUCUGGCUGCAAGGUCGUGUCAUAAAAGUGUGAUGAUUAAAUAUAUUAAUUAAAAAGAAAAAAACCAACAUGAAGAAAAAAACUAAUGAAGAAAAAGAAAAAAAUAUGAAUUAACUGGAUUAACCCUUCAAACCAGGUUAACCCGUCAAACCUGAGAUUCAUGUUAUGAAAGUUUGAUAACUAAAUAGAAAACAAAAUUGACGGGUUAACCUGUCAAGCCUGGGAUACGUGUCAUGAAAGUCUGAUAAUUAAAUAGAAAGAAAUUUAACAUUAACAAAAUAAACUAAACGAAAAAAAAUUAAUUUAAAAGAAAAAAAGUAAAAAAAAAAUUCUAGGUUAACUCAUCAAACCAAAUUAACCCAUCAAAUCCGGGAUCCGUGUCAUGAAAGUCUGAUAACUAAAUAAAAAAAAUAACAUUAACAAACUAAAUUAAACAAAAAAAAUUCAUAAAAGAAAAAAAAACACAGAAAAAAAACAAAAAAAACAUAAAGGCAAAAAAAACAAAAACAAAAUUAAGUGAGAAUUACUGAUGUGCUUUGCCAAGCUUUGCAACAGAAAUCUCAAGACAUUUUAAAUGCUAUGCAUUUGCUGACUACCAUAAAGACUUUAAUUCAGAAGUUAAGAGAUGAUGGAUUGGAAACUCUUUUAGAACAAGUGACAUCAUUUUGUAAGCAUAAAAACAUUGAAGUUCCUGAUAUGGAUGCUUGUUUUUCUAGUGUGGGACGAUCUCGCUGUAAAACAAAAUCAAUAACAGUUGAGCAUCACUAUCGAGUUGAUAUAUUUAUAGCUAUCAUUGAUCAAUAGUUGCAAGAGCUAAAUAAUAGAUUCUAUGAGCAGGCGAUCGAGCUUCUUAAGUUGAGCAUAGCUUUAGAUCCUAAAAAUAACUAUAAAUUAUUCAGUGUUGAAGAUAUAUGCUAACUUGUUGACAAGUUCUAUCCUGAAGACUUUUCUGACCAAGAAAAAACUCAUUUGAGAUUUCAGUUGCAGCAUUAUGAGCUUGAUGUACCCAAUCAUCCAAAGUUAAAGAAUAUGUCAUCGAUUGCUGAUUUAUGUCAAGGACUGGUUGAAAUAGAAAAAUCAACAAUUUAUCUACUCAUUGAUAAGUUGAUUCGACUUAUUUUGACUCUUCCUGUUUCGACAGCAACUACUGCACGAGCUUUUUCAGCGAUGAAGAUUGUUAAAACAAGACUUCGCAAUCGGAUGGAGGAUGAUUUUCUUGCAAAUUAUUUGAUUGUCUAUAUAGAAAAAGAAAUUGCUGAAAGAUUCACAAUUGAUAUGAUAAUCGAUGAUUUCUACUCCAUGAAAGAAAGACAAAAACAAUUAAAAUAAAUAUGUAAGAAUCAUUCUUUAUUACUUUUUAUUUUAUUUAAAAGUUUUAUCAAACAUAAAUAAUGUAUCGCUUUAGCUAAUGUUUCUUAUAUAUUUUGUAUGUUUAUAUUUGAUAGGUACAAAAACCAACAAAAUUAAAGUGAUGAAUACAUUAUGAAGAUGAAAUUAACUUCAUAGCUUUGACUUAAUUUGAUAUUUGCUUUAAACAUCUUAUCUUAUACAAAAAUCAUAAUAUGUUUGUAAUUACUUUUUUGAAUAAAACUAAAUCAUGUCGUUUUUGUUUUUGUUUUUAUUUUUAUUUUUAUGUAAAGUAAAUUUUUAAAUAAAUUAUAUCUUUUAUUAUUUUAACCCCCAUUCAAAUAAUCCCAGCCCCUGACCGCAAUAACAAUCAAAAUAAAAUCUAAUUCUACCGGCUGCUAAGAAUACUAAAAUAGUGUAAAUUUUGACUUAAUUCAAUUAUUAGAAUUCGGGGCAGAUAACAGUGUUGAAGAAAAUGUCAGAAAAGUAGGGUAAACAGUACAAAUACCUUGGAUGAUGGUGACUAACGCCGUUUGUUUACGCGGGCGCGGGUGCGGUUGCCUUUUAAUUAAUAAAUAUCGGUAGUUGGAGACUUCUUGUUCUCGAAAAGAAAUAGUUAAUAGUGCCAAUAAUUAAUCUGCUCUCAACUUGCUACAAGCUGUCAUUACUCAUUACCAAAAUAUUAAAGAAACAAAUAUUUCCUAUUAGUAGAAAAGCGAUCUAAUAAAGCGAUUGUUCAGUUGACGUUAUUGAAUUGCUUUUUUAUAAAAAGUUAAUUUUUAAAUAUUUAUAGAUUAUUUUAUAUAUAAAUUUAAAAAAAAUCUUAAAAAAUUUAAAAAUAUAUUUUAAUAUAAUUAAAAAAAACAUUUGAAAAACAAUUAAUAGUAUAGUCUCAGGUCUCAACCACCCAAAAUAUACAUUUGAAAAACAUUUUAUAUACCUUGGAUUAAAUUGUGUUGUAGGUUCCACACCAUUUAAAGCUUGCAAAGAAGGAUUUAAAACACAAUCACGCUAAAGAUUUGCAAUCCAAUAUAAUAUGAAAUAAAACCCCAUUGCAUCACCGGACAUGUGAUCAAUAAUAUUAAAAUACUGUAAAUUUUGAUUUAAUUCAAUUAUUAGAGCUUGAGGCAGCGUGACAAUGUGAAAGAAAAUGUCAGAAAAUCUUGGAUGAUGGUGACCAUAUCAGUAAUUUGAGACAGCAAGUUCUCGAAAGGUAAUAGUUGAUGGUACCAAAAAUUAAACCAGCUCUCAACUCGCUACAAAUAGCUGCCAUGGCCUUUCGUUCUACAUUAUAUUUCUUUUUUUACUUUCAUGGAAUCCUCUUUGCCUUCCACCCCAAUCUUGGAUUCUGGUGAAAGUGCAGAGAGGAAAAAUGAAGCAAAAAAUUACAAUGAAGUAAUGUACACCCUUCCAAAAGUUAAAGGCUUGAGGGGGAAUGAUUAUUACCUGUACCAAGGCUUUUGGUACUCUUCCUUCUUCUUGGAAGGACUCAUGUCUGUUCAAGAGCACUUCAAUCCUCAAUCCACUGAUAUAUUUCUCACCAGUUCUCCAAAAACUGGCACAACUUGGCUUAAGGCCCUCGCUUUUGCUAUUCUUACACGAUCCCGUUUAAGUGGUUCAACAACUAGUUCUUUACUUACCAAGAUGCCACAUGACUGUGUUCCUUUUUUGGAAUAUCACCUUGCUCAAAACCCAAGUAAUCGGGACUUGGCAAUUCCCCUGCUAUCUACUCAUGUUCCUUACAGUUGUUUACCUAAAUCUAUCAUUUCUUCUAGUUGCAAGAUUAUUUACAUUUGCAGGGACGCAAAGGAUGCUUUUGUUUCUUUGUGGUGCUUUUUUCCGCGCAUCAAAUGUCGAAAAAUGUUGAACCUCUUCCUCUGGAAGAGGCCUUUGAGAUGUUUUGCAACGGAAUUUCAGUCUUGGGACCAUAUUGGGACCAUGUUUUAGGGUAUUGGAGAGCAAGAUUUGAGUUCCCUGAGAAGAUAUUGUUCUUGACAUACGAGGAAAUGAAGAUAGACACCGCUGCUCAUGUUAAGAAACUAGCUGAGUUCAUGGGUUGUUCUUUCACCUUCGAGGAAGAGGAGGAAGGGGAGGUGCAAAAGAUAAUAAGCAUGUGUAGUUUUGAGAAGUUGAGCAACUUUGAGGUGAAUAAAAAUGGGAAGCACCGUCCCGUCCGGACACAUCAAUUGCUAUUCAAAAUAGUUUAUACUUUAGGAAAGGUGAGAUAGGCGACUGGGCAAAUCACUUGACACCUGAGAUGGGAGCGCGUCUAGAUGACAUAAUGGAGCGGAAGCUCAAGGGUUCAGGCUUGAAGCUGCCCAGGUGACCGUGCCUGGGGUCCCAUUUGCAUAUGAUUAUUGCCGAAGUGGGUUCAUCAAAAGGUGUUAUCAGGAUGUCGUGAAACAGCAACUGUGUAUCCCAAUAAAUACCCUCUCUGUUCAUAGCAAGUAUUCACAUUUUGUGAAUCUUCCAUGUCAAUAAGCAAUAUUCUUUUGUGAAUCUGUGUUUGUGACUUUCAUUGAUUUCCUUGCAUGUUUGUAAGAAUUCAAAAUGGGAUUCGUUUUUUUUUUUUAUUUAACACAAGUGCAUGCAUUCCAUUCAUCAGUUUGAUAAAAAAUAAAUUUACUCUAAUAUAUAAUAUUAGAGUGUUUUCUUCACAGAAAUUGCAGUGUGUUUUUCUUCACAGCUAUACAUGUUUGAAAAGAACCGAGACAACCAUACAUGAGGGUGGAGCAAAGACCAACCGAGACAACCAUCCAUUAAGAUUGUUGAAUUGCAGAUCAAAUGAACGUAGGCGGCACAUCUACUGAAAGGAUCUCGAAAUGCCUUGUAAUUGGUUAAAAUAAAAGAUCAAGAUCUGUAGGAGAACUCGUGUUUUCCACUCCUAAAAUAAGCCCAGUUGCCGGCUUCAUUUGCAACAGAGACACAUAAAGAAUCUGAAAGCAGUUCUUAUGCACUAUCAGCAAAAUAAUUUGACCAGUCAGAAUGAUUUUUUUCCCCCUUACUAGGCUCAGAUCACAAUCCUUCUUACUUCAAACAAAUCUUUUGGAACCGAUAUGUCGAGGGAUGGCUUGAUUUAUACCGGAGAUUUUGAUGGAAACUUAAAGAAGCGUGGCUUAAUUAUACCUUGGAUGCGCAAAUUGAUUACAGGGAAAAAAUGACAGAAAGUGAGUUGCAGGGAAUGAAAAAGGCAUUUGUAAACUCAACACCUUUCAGGGCAUCGUUCCUUGGUUUACUCCCUUUUAUUUCUUAUUUUGUUUUUCCUGCCAUUGUCUAAGUUUUUCUAACUCGCAGUCUGGUCUCUGCAGAGAAUGAGACAGCAAAAACGCUUUAAGAGAAGAUAUUCUCCGGCAACGGCAUCAAACAGAAAAGUCUGACAUCAACUAAGUGCGUGUUUGACACUCCGGUUAUGUUUACAUAAAAAACAUCGUUGUCAUGUGUUUGGUUACAGUCUAAACAUAAUUUUCUGUUUGUGAGACCCGUUAUCAUUUGCUUUUAAACCGCAAGAUAACCAAAAGCAACUUCAAGCUGCCUUUUGUGUUGAGUUGCAAACUUUAUAAACAAAGGCCACAAGAAAAAGAGCAGAAACAUAGCAGUGAAUAGUAAACAGUGGAGAGUAGCUCCCUCUCACCACCGGCAUCCACCGUUUCCACCGCCAGCCACUGCUCUUCCUCUUCCCCUUCUCCUUCUCCUUUAUCUUCUGCAUUGUCCACUGUUCACGUUGCAUGUGAACAGUGGAGAGCAGCUCACCACCGGCCUCCGCUGUUUCCACCGCCAGCCACUACUCUUCCUCUUUCCCUUCCCCUUCUUCUUCUUCUUCUACAUUUUCCACUGUUCACAUGAACAGUGGAGAGCAUCUCCACUAUUCAUGGCCGGAUUGGGUCUGACCCAAACCUAAAUGCAUUGGACUGGGUCCGACCAAGUAAAAUAAAAAAAUCUAAAAACAUUUCUUAGAUAUUGUGUUUUAUUUGAAAAACUAGUGUUUAAAAUUAUUCAAUGACACUAUAUAAUUAUAUUAGAAGGAGAUCGCAUGAUGACAUAGCAUUUGCAGAAUUUGAUUGCAAUCCCAAUUUUGUUCCUAAUGAUAUUUUACCUGAUGUGAUGAUAUUUUACCUGAUGUUGGUAUACGUUCAAGAAGCCAUGAAAACUGUAGUUCUUGUCGGAUGGAUUUCGUACGUGAUUGAAUUGCAAAUAGUUUAAUAAAACAAUAAAAAAUACUUUAUAUAAAGUAUUGUUUAUUUCAUGAUUUAAUAGCAGUAGUUAAAUCUAUAAUAUUUCAAUUAAAAACCAUCAAUAUUAAUAUAUGUUUUUUUUAAUUAUUUUAUAACCUUAAUUUGAAAAAUAUUCUUUAAACCAAACACAUUAAACUACUUUUUGUUCAACCUCAAUUUCAACCACAAUUUUAACCAAAUAUAUAUUUUUUCAAACCAAUCUCAACUAAAAGUAAUUUUUAUAAAACAACUUUUUCAAACUAUAACCACAACAGCUACCACAAUACCAAAUACACAUAAAAAAAACUGUAAUGAUAAGCAAGUUAAAGUGCCACCAUUGAUUUAGGAUCUGCUUUAGAUCUUAUAAGGUGAAAGUAAAACACAAGGAAAUGCAUGCAUGCACACCACUAAUCUUUGAUUCUGGCGAGAACAGUGAUGACUACACUCAGAACCAUAUAGAAUUACAUUCCAAGAUGAAGAAAUUAAUAACAGAGCAGUGCUAUAAAGCUAAAUGUGAGAACCAAAGAUUAAUAAGCAAUGCUGAAAAUUUUAUCAUGCAUAAGAUGAGAGAAGCACAGGACAGAUUUUAUCAAAUCUAUAGUUUUUCUUCAAUAAUAAUAAUAUUUUUUAAAAAUUUAAUAAUAAUAAAAAAAAAAAACUCAUGUUCCUUGGCUCUUUCUCUUGCCAAACUGAAGCUACCAUAGUCAAAUCCAAGUAACUUAGAUGUCACGCUCUUGCUAAACCCAAGUUAUUUGGGUAUGACAUCUCAUGCUGGACUCAUAGCAUUCCAGAUCAAAGGUGUUGAUAUCUAACAAUAAUACCUCACCCGAGCCCUAAGAUGUGAUUGCUUUUCUAGACCCGAGGGCCAAGGCACCAAGACACUAUUCACUAUAAGUCAAGUCAAUGAAUCAAUCAAUCGAUUUUAAAGAUCAAGUUUUUUUUUUAAUAGAGAAACAAAACUUUUAUUAACAUUGAAAUAACUCUUAAAAUCUUAAUAAAAUUAAUUUGAAGUAAAAAUAAUAUUAAAAGAAAUAUUCAGAAGCACUUUUUGAUUGUAAAAUCAAACACACUAAAAUCAUGUAGAUUUUCAUUUAGACAUUAAAAUUCAAGAAGAAAUUAAGUUCACAGUACUAUUAAUUCAAUCGAUGAAGGAUUAGACCCAACUACUUUAGGGCCACCAUUGACAUUGAUUACUUUGAAUAAUUUUAAUUUAUAGGCAUAAAAAAUUAAUACAUAUCUUUAAGAGGAUCAAUUUUAGAUUAUCUCUCUCUCUCUCUCUCUAUUUUUUUUUUGGUUUUCAAAUAUUUGACAUUUUCGUUUAGAUAAGCUCUAGUGUGUGUUUUUUUAAGAUUAUUUUAAAUCAUGUUUCUUGAAAUGUCAAAAACAUUUCAUGGAUUAAUUUAACUUAAUAACGCCAAAGAAUUAGGAAUUAAAACUGACAAUUUCCACCAUGUAAGAGUACCUAAUUGAAAAUUUACUUUCUUAUCAUUUACCUCAAUUAAGCGGAAGCAUGAUCAUGAGAAGGGAUUUGGAGAAAGAAUUAUAAACAGAGAAUAAGAGAAAAUGUAAUGUGUAUAGAUUUUCUUAAUGAAUUAAUUAUGAUACAACAGAAGCUCAUAUAUAUAUAUAUAUACAUUCUAAACUAAUCAGUUAUGAAAUGUUAUUACAAAUAUAAUUUGAAUUUCAAUUUUAAAAUCAUGAUUAGUGCAGGUUUAUCAAUGCAGCAGAAUAUCCAUCAUAAACAAGAAGUUCACAGUUACAAAGUUUGAAUCUUUGUAACUGUAACUCUCUUUUGAAACUCUCUUCUUGGUCUUCAAUAUCCGUUAGCUAGCUGGAGAUGUAACAGUUACAAAGUUUGAAUCUUUGUAACUGUAACUCUCUUCUUGGUCUUCAAUGUCUGUCAGUUACAAAGUUUGAAUCUUUGUAACUGUAACUCUCUUAUGCUUAACAUUCCCCUGCAAACUGAUGGGGAUAGGAAUCACCAUCAAUUUGGACCGUAAAAACAUAAACCUUGCUGUAGUAUGACCUUUGGUGAAGACAUCUGCAAUCUGGUCAUAUGUUGAAAUAUAUCGUACAAGAAUAUCCUUAUUAAGAACUUUUUCACGGAUGAAGUGAUAAUCCACCUCUAUGUGCUUCGUUCGGGCAUGAAAAACAGGAUUAGAGGCAAGAGAUAUUGCACCUACAUUAUCACACCAUAGUGUAGGAGGUGACGACAAUGAAAUGCCAAGAUCUUGCAAUAACAUUCGAAGCCAAUAUAGUUCAGCAGUGACAAGAGCCAUGGAUCGAUAUUCGGCCUCAGUACUGGAUUUAGACACAACACUUUGUUUCUUUGCACUCCAGGAUAUGAGAUUUUGGCCUAGAAACACAAUAUAACCACUUGUAGAUUUUCUAUCAUCAGGAUUCCCAGCCCAAUCUGCAUCACAGAAAGCAUCUAAUGUUGUUGUCGAUUGAGUGUAGUGAAUACCAUAAUCAAUUGUUCCUUUCAAGUAACGAAGAACUCUUUUGGUAGCAAUCCAGUGUGGUUCUCGUGGAGCAUGCAUGAAUUGGCAUAAUUGGUUCACUGCAUAGCUGAUGUCAGGUCUUGUUAAAGUGCAAUAUUGAAGAGCACCAAUAACUUGAUGAUAUUCAGUUGGAUCAUUCAAUAUCCGUUAGCUAGCUGGAGAUGUAACAGUUACAAAGUUUGAAUCUUUGUAACUGUAACUCUCUUAUGCUUAACAUUUGGGAGGCACUUAGAUUAGGCUCUUCUCUAGUCUUGAGAAGCAAAACCAAUAGAGACGUGAUUGCGCACUCCCUGAGCUAUAUAGUAAGUGGCUGCAAACAAAUUGUCAGCACCAAUUCAGGUCCGGAAAAUUAAAGCAUUGAAGCAUAAAAGGUGACCUAACCUAAUUAAGCAAAUUACUACUUAUUCCAGCAUCACCUAGGAGUGAGACAGCCAGCCCAUCCAGUGUCUACAUGGUAAGGGAAUAAUUCCUUCAAGAAUGCAGAGAAAAUUAUACUUGCAAUACAACUAUAAACGAGAUGGUACAGUGCGGAAGGCAAGAUGUUAAAUCAAUUGAUCUUAUUAUAAUACUGUGAAAUAUGAUCAGGACAAAAAAAUAAAUAAAGAAAGAAAGAGUUGUUUAUUUUACAAUGAUCGAUAUGAUGCUUCUUUGCAUGUGGAAUCUUCGUCAAAGACUUGUUGAAAAUGCCAAAUUGUGAUCCACUUUUGGCUGUGUCAAAUGCAUGGGUGGGGCUUCACACAGAGCUAUUACCCCUUGUGUAAACUCAACGCCAGUUUUCAUGAGUUCUUUGGGAUUCUAACAUAGUAAAAAAAAGAAAGAUAAAAUAACAAAGUGUAAAGAAUAUUUAGUGAAAUAGAUAUUCGUGAUUAAUCAGUAGCAAUUAUUAUAUGCUGGCUCUCUCGGGUUUACUUGACAGAAGAUUUAUUAAAAAGAGUUGAUAAAGGAGAAAGAAAAGAAAAGAAAAUCUUCAAGGUAUAUCAAAACUCUGAUAAUAAUAUUAUUGGUAUUGUUAAAAAAAUCUCGACAAGACAAAUCGAAAAAUAACAAUGAAGGUCAUCAAUGACGAUAAAAAUAAGUCAUACGAGUGGCCCAAGAUAAGUGAGUUUUAAUACUUUUGAACAGCUUGUAUGAUUCAUUUUAUUCACUAUUUAUAAUCUUUUUUGAUGCUGUUAAAUUCAUCUUGUAAUGAUGUUGAUAAUGUUAUCAUUAUAAUUUCAAUGUAUUUUUAUUUUUAUUAUUAUUUUUUGUUUUGCUCUCUCUCCUCUCUCAUUGUAAUUUAUGAAGAGUAAGAGAGGGGGAAAAAAAAAACCCUAGUCUUCCAAUUUAAUCUGGCUGAAUACUACUAUCUCAAUCUUAUUCACUACUUUGUCAAAGCAAAGUAGAUUUUUCCUUAAAUAAGAUCUAAUCCACCGGCGGAUAGGUGAUCAAGAAUAUUAAAUUAGUGUAAAACUUGAUUUAAUUCAACAUUAUAAUUAGAGGUGCUAUAAUAAUGUGAAAAAAAGAAUAAAAAAACUAGAUGAUGGCGACCACAUAUCAAUAAUUCCAGACAUCACGUGGAGCACUUUCAUCAUCAUUAUUAUUAUUGGUAUAAUAAUGUUUGUUGUAUUAUUUUUUAAUUGUUAAGUUGUUUACUAUAUGUUAAAAUUUCAAGAUCUUCAAAGAUUGGGAAGAUCGGAUCUAAAGUUACUAUGGGACUGUCUUUAUUUUCCUAUUUGGAUUUUUUUAUUUAUAUUAAGAAUUUAAAUUUAAUUAGUAUUUUAUUAUUUAAAAAUUUUAAUGGUAAAUUGAUUCUAUUAGUUAGGUAAAUUUUAAAUAUAAAUUAUUUUUCUAUACAAAAUUUUAAAUCUAGAACUAAUAUAAAUAAAAAUAUUUAGUUUAUUUUUGUUCGAGGAUUCAUAUUAUUAUUUAAAUUUUUUUAUAAAUAUUUAGAGAUUUUUUCUAAUUUCCUAUGGUGUUAGGGAUUAUAACCUUAAGGUUUGGUUUGAAAUAAUGAUGACAGUUAUUUCUUAAAGUGUUUUUCACUUGAAAAUACAUUAAAAUAAUAUUUUUUUUAUUUUUUAAAUUUUUUUUUGAUAUCAGCAUAUCAAAACAAUUCAAAAACACCAAAAACUUAAUUUGAAAAAAAAUCAAAAUUUAUAAAAACCCCGGUUAAAAUGUUUUACCAAACACUUCUUAGUUUUUAAUAUUAAUACAUCAAAACAAUCCAAAAAUAUUAAUUUAAAAUUUUUAAAAACUCCGGUUGCGUUUGUAAGAUGUGUUGCGGCUCUCAACUUGCUACAAUGGCCUUUCUUUAAUAUUUUAUUUACACCAUUCAUGGAACCCUCUUUGCCUUCCACACAAAUCCCGGAUUUUGGUGAAACUGCUAAGAGGAAAAAUGAAGAGCUUUCCAAAGGCCAUGCUAAAACUACAAAGAAGUGAUCUCUACCUUUCCAGAAGUUAAAGGCUUUUGGGACGUUCCGCUCUUCUUGGGAAGACUCAUGUCAGUUCAAGAACACUACAAGCCUCAAUCCACUGAUAUAUUUGUCGCCAGCUUUCCAAAAACGAAGGAAAUCUUUGGUUAAUGUUCUCUGAAUCUCUCCUUUUCUCCUUCAAGAGUGAAAUUUAUGUGCCUUUCGUACCUUUUUACGUUAGAACAUUUCAUUUGUUCUUGUUUUCUAAAUUGAGUCUUUUCUAUGCGUUUUAUUAUUUUAUUUAUUGGGUAUUUGAGAGUGUAGUAAUAGUUAUAAUUUAAAGUGUUUUUAUUCAAAAAUAUAUUAAAAUAAUAUAUAUUUUUAAUUUUUUAAUAUUCAUCUUUUGACAACAUCACUCCAAAACAUUAGAAAACAUAAAAAAAAAAAAAACAAUUAGAAAACAAUUAGAAAACGCAAGAUUGCAUCAAUGCUAAAUGCAAUAUAUAUAUAUAGGUGCGCGCGCGCGCGUGUGUGAGAGAGAGAGAGAUCCACCUGUGUGUGAAAUGCAUAGUGAUGUUCCACAGCGAGCCAUUAUCUAUUAUGUAAAAUCUCUGAGAAAUGUCAUAGAUCAAUUGGUCGAUAUAGCAAAUUGAUAGGUUAAAGCUGCUCAUAAUCAAUACCUCUAAAAGAUUAUCUUUGGUGGAGAUGAAAACUUUUUGAUAUGUAAAUAAGUAUUUAAAAAAAAAUUAAAUAUUCUAUAAAGAGAUGUUCUGAAAAUACAAAUGCAGUAGAGAAUUGGAGAUUGUGAAUCUUUAUUAUGAAGGUCUCAUGAUAUAUUUAUAGCUCGAAUCUUGUCAUUUUGUGAAAAUAAGAGUUUGCAGUGUAAUUAACCUGAUAACAUUUAAUGAGGAAUAAAUAUCAUUUACAUGAUGGGAAUAUGGUGGGUCCUCGAAGGAGUUUUAUACACCUUAAAAGGUAUCAGAAAAUUAGAGUUUAAGAUAUCAAGUGUAGCUGAGCUUAUAGAGAUCAAGUUCUUUCUUGAGAUUAAAUCCAAGGGAGGUUUGUCAUUCCCCUGGACAUGCCAAGGAAGAAUGGUUAUUAUCUUGGACUUGGUUGGUUGCCAAAUCCAAGCAUCUUGGGCAUGACAUGCGUGCCAGAUCCACACUACCUUGAAGUUGGAGCACUACUAAGUCCAAGCGCCUCGGGUCUGACAUGCAUGCCAGACUUAUACUACGCUGGACUUGGUGCAUUACUAAGUCCAAAUGCCUUGGGUCUGAUAUGCCUGUUAGACCUAUAUUAUCUUGGGCUUGACGCAUUACUAUAUUCAAGCACCUUGAACUUAAUUAAUUGUCAAGUCCAUGCAUCUUAGAUUUAGAUCUAACAUAUACACUAGACUCAUAUUACAUUGAAUCUAGCGCAUUACAAAGUUAUAAUGCCUUGAAUUAAGUAUAUGUGCCACAUCCAUACAUUUUAAAAAACCAAACGAAAACUAAAUAAAAAGUUGACUCAUCGCUAAUCUAUAAAUACUAUCUACAUAAUGGCCUUAGUUGAUAUCUUCUACCGCUUACUACAUUUACUUGAAUAAUGAAAAUGUUUUUUUUUUUUAAUGGAAAAGAGAUUUUAACUCCAUCUUCAAUUACUAUAUAAAUGUUUCCUUGGGUUUUGAAAACGCAAUCAUGCUAAAAAUUUAUUAUCUAAUAUAAAAUAAAAUGUAUUUGUUUUUAUAUUUUAAAAAUGUUUUUUUUUUAAUUUUUUAAUUUUCAUCUUGUUUUGAUGUGUUAAUAUUAAUAAUAAAUUUUAAAAAUAAAAAAAAUAUUAUUUUAAUAUAUUUUUUAAAUUAAAAAUAUUUUAAAAAAUAACUAUUACAACAUUAACGAAUAAGAUUUAAUAUAAAAAACAUUCUAAUUGCAUCAGCUGAGAGGUGAUCAACAAUACCGCAUUCCCGAACUUCACAUCCCUAUAUUAAUGGAUUGUGUUGUGGGCUCCACGCCAUUUAAAGCUUGUAAGAGAAACCACACCUCUAAAUAGAAACCACACGAUCACGCUAAAAGAUUUGCUAUCGAAUAUAAUAUGAAAUAAAACCCAAUUGCAUCAGCGGACAUGUGAUCAAUAAUAUUAAAAUAAGGUAAUAGUUGAUGGGCCACAAAUUAAACCAGCUCUCAACUCGCUACAAAUAGCUGCCAUGGCCUUUCAUUCUACGUUAUAUUUUCAUUUUUUACAUUCAUGGAAUCCUCUUUGCCUUCCACCCAAAUCUCGGAUUCUGGUGACAGUGCAGAGAGGAAAAAUGAAGCUAAAAAUUACAAUGAAGUGAUGUCCACCUUUCCGAAAGUUAAAGGCUUGAAUGGGUAUGAUUAUUACCUGUACCAAGGCUUUUGGUACGCUCCCUUCUUCUUGGAAGGACUCUUGUCUGUUCAAGAGCGCUUCAAUCCUCAAUCCACUGAUAUAUUUGUCGCCAGUUGUCCAAAAACUGGCACAACUUGGCUUAAGGCCCUCACUUUUGCUAUUUUCACACGAUCCCGUUUAAGUGGUUCAACAACUAGUUCUUUACUUACCAAGAUGCCACAUGACUGUGUUCCUUUUUUGGAAUAUCACCUUGCUCAAAACCCCAGUAAUCGGGACUUGGCAAUUCCUCUGGUAUCUACUCAUGUUCCUUGCACUUGUUUACCUAAAUCUAUCAUUUCUUCUUGUUGCAAGAUUAUUUACAUUUCCAGGGACGCAAAGGAUGCUUUUGUUUCUUUGUGGUACUUUCUUGCCAGGCUGCAAAUGUCGAAAAAUGUUGAACCUCUUCCUCUGGAAGAGGCAUUUGAGUUGUUUUGCAAUGGAAUUGCAAAUUUUGGACCAUAUUGGGACCAUGUUUUAGGGUAUUGGAGAGCAAGCUUCGAGUUCCCUGAUAUUGUUCUUGACAUACGAGGAAAUGAAGAAAGACACCGCUGCUCAUGUUAAGAAACUAGCUGAGUUCAUGGGUUGUUCUUUCUGUUGCAUUAAACUCAAUCUAGAAGGUUAAGGAAGGCAACCACCACUUGCAGCCACUAGCUGUCACCGCCUAGCCGCCAGCCGUCUUCAUACUUGAAAGUUGAAUUAUCUUGUUUUUGAAUUCUGUGUAUAAAUAGAUAGCUAAGUGGAUGUUAUUCUGUGUGGAAAGAGAAGAAAGAAACACUAGAGAGAAAGAGAGAGGGAGUGUGUAGCUUUUGUUUAAUUAUUGUAAGCUUUUAUUGUUGAAAUAAAACAGUGUGUUUUAUCUCUUCUGAGUGUUUCAAAGCCACCACCAGUGGUUUCUCCCACCAACAAUUGGUAUCAGAGCCUCGUUCGUCACAAAACACAAGUAUUUUGGGAGAUACACGAAUUUUCAAAGUUGUCAAAAACAAUUUUUGAUCAUUCCACAAUGUAGAGCUCAUCCAUACGAACUCACUGGUGCAAAAAUCAGCUUCAUCGGAGCCCGAGGUGAUCCCCACGCGCCUCCUGAAAUUCCGGUAACUGUAGCCCAGUCUCACCCACGCGCUCCAGAGGUUGAAGACGCCAGAGGUUGAAGACGAGUGUCGUCCACGCGCGCCAUAUUCGAGCCGAUCCCCAGCCGAGCCGAUCUUUAGCCUCAGCCGAGCCGAUAGAAUAUUCCCCAGAAUAUUCCCGGUUCAACCCCAGCGAACCGCCUAACGUCCAGAAUCGGUUUUCAGACCGGUUCAGCCUAUUUCUGACCCAUUUUCAUCCAAGUCAGGCCGGUUCCCUACUGUUUUGAGCAUUCUGGAUCCAUCUACGGUGUCUGUUUUGCCAAAUUCAACUCCCAGAAGGUGAUAUAGUCAUUCAAAAAGCAAAAUGACUACAGAAAAUGCACAAACACUCAUCCCGAAGCUGACCAAAGACAACUAUGAUAGUUGGUGUAUCAGAUUGAAGGCAUUUCUUGGUUUACAAGAGUGUAUAGAGAUUGUGCAAUAUGGUUAUGAUGAACCAGAGUCUAAAGAAGUAGAAGAUACUUUAAAUGAGGCAGAAAAGCAAGUCCUCAAAGCAAAUAGAAAGAAAGACAACAAAGCAAAGACCAUAAUCUAUCAAGGUCUUGACGAAGCUAUAUUCGAAAUUAUUGCUUCCGCAGAAACAUCAAAAGAGAUAUGGGAGGCUCUCCAACAAAAAUACAAAGGUGCUGACAGAAUCAAGAAGAUUCGUCUCCAAUCUUUGCGAGGUGAGUUUGAAUUAUUGCAAAUGAAGGCCUUAGAAUCUAUUUUUGACUAUCACACAAGAAUUAUGGUGAUAGUCAAUCAGAUGAGAAGAAAUGGAGAAGCCCUCACAGAUGCUCGGAUUACAGAGAAAAUUUUGAGAUCCCUAUAUCCAAAAUUUUAUUUUGUUGUUGUCGUUAUUGAAGAGUCCAAAGAAGUGGACAAGUUGAUGGUGGAUGAGCUUAUGAGUUCUUUGCAAGCUCAUGAGCAAAAGAUCGUGAAAAGAAAUGGAGAUAAGGCAAUUGAGCAUGCCUUACAAGCAAAGUUGUCUCUCAAAGACAGAUAUGAGCAAGGGGAGACUUCAAUAAGUGGAUAUACCACUCAAGGAAGAAGUCCACAAAGACGAGGAGGAUUUCAGCAAUUCCAAGGAAGAGGAUCUUGGAAUACAGGUUUUAGAGGAAGAGGUGGCAGAUAUACCACUAGAGGAGGCCGAGGACAACAAUCAUUCACUCCUAAAGGAAGAGGAGGCGGUUACAAUAACCGUGACAAGAGGAAUAUCCAGUGUUAUAAGUGCAAUCAAUUUGGGCACUAUAGCAUUGAAUGUCAAAGGAAAGCUCCAUUAGAGGUACGUGAGCAUGCAAACUAUGCAGAGGAGGAUGCCAACAGCAGAGGAGCAGCUGCAUUAUUUGUCCAACAAGGACUUGACAAGAAUCAAGAGAAUAUUUGGUAUCUUGAUUCUGGAGCCAGCAAUCACAUGUGUGGCCAACGAGAUCUAUUUGGCGAUCUAGAUGAGACCAUACAAGGUCUAGUCACCUUUGGAGAUACAUCAAAAGUUCCAUUCAAAGGUAAAGGCAACAUCCCAAUCAAGUUGAAGAAUGGCGAUCAUAGCUACAUCGCCAAUGUCUACUAUGUCCCAGCCAUAAAGCAAAACUUGGUGAGCAUAGGUCAACUUCUAAAGAAAGGUUAUACACUUUUCAUGAAGAAUUGUCAUCUGACAGUUACAGACUACAAUGGGAGAUUAAUUGCCUAUGUGAAAAUGUCCAAGAAUAGGAUGUUUCCUUUAAACAUCCAAUAUGAUGCAGCAAAGUAUUUGAGUGCCAUCACCAACAGUGAAGAGUGGCUUUGGCACCUGAGGCUUGGACAUCUGAAUUUCACAAGUCUGAAGAUGCUAGCAAGCAAGAAGAUGGUCAAAGGUAUGCCCCACAUUGAUCAUCCAGAUGAAGUCUGUGAGAGUUGUGUCCUCAGCAAACAUCACAGAUCCAAUUUUGCCAAAGAAGUCAACUGGAAAGCAAACAAGCCACUGGAGUUAGUGCACACAGAUGUGUGUGGUCCCAUAAAGCCUAUGUCGACUGGACCAAAUAGGUACUUCCUUACUUUCAUUGAUGAUUUUAGCAGAAAGACGUGGAUAUACUUUCUGAAGAGGAAGUUAGAAGUGUUCAAUUGUUUUAAAGAUUUUAAAGCAAUUGUUGAGAAGCAAAGUGGCUAUAAGAUCAGAACCGUGAGAUCUGAUCAAGGUGGAGAAUAUACAGCAAAUGACUUUGAAGCCUUUUGUACACAACAAGGCAUCAAACAUCAGACAACACCAGCUUAUACACCACAGCUGAAUGGUGUAGCUGAAAGAAAGAAUCGAACGAUUCUUGACAUGGCGAGAAGUCUACUCAAAGCAAAGAAGCUGCCCAAACAAUACUAGGCUGAAGCUGUAUCAUGUGCAGUGUAUCUACUGAAUCGCUGCCCAACCAAAAGUUUGCAAGCUGUCACUCCACAAGAAGCAUGGAGUGGUCACAAACCAAGUGUUACUCAUCUUCGAGUCUUUGGUUGUGUGGCAUAUGCAAAGAUCCCAGAUGCAAGAAGGACCAAACUCGAUGAUAAAAGCGAGAAAUGCAUCUUUGUCGGAUAUGGUGAGAGAAAGAUGGGAUACAAGCUGUAUAAUCUCAUCACAAAGAAGGUAAUUAUGAGUAGAGAUGUUAUCUUUGAAGAAGAUAAAACAUGGCAAUGGAAGGAUGACCAAGAAGCAGUCAAAUGGAUCAGCACUGAUUUGAUCCUUGAAGAUGAAGUGGAAGUACCACCAGUACUUGCAGAAGGUCUGAUAUUACCGGCAGAUGAGCCACAAAGUUCGGUACACAGAUUCCCUGUAUUCAACAGGAGAAACACACCAGAAUCAUCAUCAGCAUCCUCAUCAGAAGGACCAAGAAGGAUGAGAAAUCUAGACGAGUUGUACGAUGUCAUGCAAGUCAUGGAAGAUACAACUCUAUUUUGUUUCUUUACAGAUACUGACCCACUUAGCUUCAAUGAAGUUAUCAAAGAAGAGAAGUGGAUAUAAGCAAUGGAUGAAGAAAUACAUGCUAUUGAGAAGAAUGACACCUGGAAGCUGACUAAUCUACUAGAAAACAAGAAAGCAAUAGGUGCCAAAUGGGUCUAUAAGACAAAGAAGAAUGCAAAAGGAGAAGUGCAAAGAUACAAAGCAAGAUUAGUAGCAAAAGGCUACAAAUAAAGAGAAGGCAUUGACUAUGGAGAAGUAUUUGCUCCAGUAGCCCGGCUAGAGACAAUCAGACUGAUGAUCUCACUAGCUGCACAACAUAGAUGGAAGAUCUAUUAACUCGAUGUGAAGUCAGCAUUUCUGAAUGGCUUCCUAGAAGAAGAGAUCUAUGUUGAACAACCACUUGGAUACAUCGAAGCUGAAAAUGACGGCAAAGUAUACAAGUUGAAGAAAGCUCUCUACGGUUUGAAGCAAGUUCCGCGUGCUUGGAAUACCAGAAUUGACAGGUAUUUUCAAGAAAAUGAAUUUGAAAAAUGUCCAUAUGAACACGCAAUAUAUGUGAAGAAAGAAGCAGAUAACAACAUAUUAUUUGUGUGCCUAUAUGUUGAUGAUUUGCUAUUCACCGGCAACAACCCAACCAUGUUUGAAGCCUUCAAGAAAAGCAUGGUACAAGAGUUUGAGAUGACAGACAUUGGUCUGAUGGCACACUUUCUUGGCUUAGAAGUGGUGCAGAAAGAAGAAGGGAUUUUUGUAUCCCAAAGCAGUUAUGCCAAAGACAUUCUUGAAAGGUUCAAGAUGGAAAGCUGCAAUCCGGUAUCAACUCCAGUUGAGAAUGGAGUAGAAUUGAGGAAGAGUAAAGUUGGAAAUGUUGAUCCAACUUACUUCAAAAGCUUAGUAGGAAGCUUAAGGUACUUGACAUGUACCAGACCGGAUAUACUCUACGGAGUUGGUCUUAUCAGCAGAUACAUGGAGACACCAGACCAGUCUCACUUGAAUGCAGCCAAGAGAAUUCUUCGCUACAUCAAAGGAACAAUCAAUGAAGGUAUGUUUUAUACCUCAAGUACAAACUUCAAUCUUGUUGGCUACUCGGAUAGUGAUUGGGGUAGAGAUCUGGAUGAAAGGAAAAGCACAACAGGGUUUGUCUUUUUCAUGGGAAAUACAUUUUUCACAUGGUCAUCCAAGAAGCAAUCGAUAGUAACGUUAUCAAGCUGUGAAGCUGAGUAUGUUGCUGCCAACUCAGCUGUAUGCCAUUUAAUAUGGUUAAGAAAUAUGCUGAAGCAUUUGGGAUUUCCUCAAGAAGAUCCCACAGAGAUUUAUAUUGAUAAUCGAUCAGCGAUUGCAUUAGCAAAGAACCCGGUGUAUCAUGAACGAAGUAAACACAUUGAUACACGUCAACACUUUAUCCGAGAGCAUAUAAAGAACAAAGAAGUCGAGCUGAUAUCCUGCAAGACAAAUGAUCAAGUUGCAGAUAUCUUUACAAAGCCAUUGAAGGGAGAAACAUUUAUCAGACUGAAGUUCAUACUUGGCGUGACAUCCCUCGAUUAAGUUUAAAGGGGGGAUUUGUUGCAUUAAACUCAAUCUAGAAGGUCAAGGAAGGCAACCACCACUUGCAACCACCAGCUGUCACCGCCCAGCCACAAACCGCCCAGCCGCCAGCCACUAGCUGUAUGCCGCCAGCCUCCAGCCGCCUUCACACUUGAAGGUUGAAUUAUCUUGUUUUUGAAUUCGUGUAUAAAUAGGUAGCUAAGUGGAUGUUAUUCUGUGUGGAAAGAGAAGAAAGAAACACUAGAGAGAAAAGAGAGGGAGUGUGUAGCUUUUGUUUAAUUAUUGUAAGCUUUUAUUGUUGAAAUAAAACAGUGUGUUUUAUCCCCUCUGAGUGUUUCAAAGCCACCACCAGUGGUUUCUCCCACCAACACUUUCACCUUAGAGGAAGAGGAGGAAGGGGAGGUGCAAAAGAUAAUAAGCAUGUGUAGUUUUGAGAAGUUGAGCAACUUGGAGGUGAAUAAAAAUGGGAAGCACCGUCCGGACACAUCAAUUGCUAUUCAAAACAGUGUAUACUUCAGGAGAGGUGAGAUAGGCGACUGGGCAAAUCACUUGACACCUGAAAUGGGAGCACGUCUAGAUGACAUAAUGGAGCAGAAACUCAAGGGUUCAGGCUUGAAGCUGCCGAGGUGAAUGUGCCUAGGGUCCCAUUUGCUUGUGAUUAUUGCCGAAGCGGGUUCAUCAAAAGCUGUUAUCAACAUCUCGUGAAACAGCAACUGUGUAUCCCAAUAAAUACCCUCUCUGUUCAUCUCUUGUAUUUCCCAGCAAGUAUUCACAUUUUGUGAAUCAUCCAUGUCAAUAAGCAAUGUUCUUUGUGAAUCUGUGUUUUUGACUUUCAUUCAUUUCCUUGCAUGCUUGUAAGAAUUAAAAAUUGGAUUCGUUUUUUUUAUUUAUUUAUUUAACACAAGUUCAUGCAUUCCAUUAAUCAGUUCGAUAAAAAAUAAAUUUAGUCUAAUAUAUAAUAUUAGAGUGUUUUCUUCACAGAAAUUGCAGUGUGUUUUCUUCAGUUAUACAUGUUUUAAAAGAACCGAGACAACCAUCCAUUAAGAUUGUUGAAUUGCAGAUCAAAUGAACGUAGGCGGCACAUCUGCUGAAAGGAUCUCGAAAUGCCUUGUAAUUGGUUAAAAUAAAGAUCAAGAUCUGUAGGAGAACUCGUGUUUUCCACUCCUAAAAUAAGCCCAGUUGCCGGCUUCAUGUGCAACAGAGGCACAUAGAGAAUCUGAAAGCAGUUUUUAUGCACUGUCAGCAGAAUAAUUUGAUCAGUCAGAAUGAUUCCCCCCCUCUAGGGCUCAGAUCACAAUUCUUCCUUGAAACAAAUCUUUUGGAACCGAUAUGUGGAGGGAUGGCUUGAUUUAUACCGGAGAUUUUGUUGGAAAAUUAAAGAAGCAUGGCUUAAUUUGUACCUUGGAUGCGCAAAUUGAUUAGAGGGAAAAAAUGACAGAAAGUGAGUUACAGGGAAUGAAAAAGGCAUUAGUAAACUCAACACCUUUCAGGGCAUCGUUCCUUGGUUUACUCCGUUUUAUUUCUUAUUUUGUUUUUCCUGCCAUUGUCUAAUGUUUUUCGAACUCACAGUCUGGUCUCUGCAGAGAAUGAGAAAGCACAAAUUCUUUAAGAGAAGAUAUUCUCCGGCAAUGGCAUCAAACGGAAAAGUCCGACGUCAACUAAGUGUGUGUUUGGUGUUGCGGCCGUGUUUACAAAAAAACAUCGUUGUCAUGUGUUUGGUUACGGUCUAAACACAAUUUUCUAUUUGUGGGACCCAUUACUAUUUGCAUUUAAACUGCAAGAUAACCGGAAGCAACUUCAAGUUGCUUUUUAUGAUUAGUUGCAAACUAUGUUAUAAACAGAGGCCACAAGAAAAAGAGCAGAAAUAGAGCAGUGAAUAGUGAACAGUAGAGAGCAGCUGCCUCUCACCACCAACCUCCACCGUUUUCACUGCCAGCCACUGCUCUUCCUCUUCCCCUUCUCCCUUUCACGUGAACUGUGGAGAGUGGAGAGCAGCUCACCACCGACCUCCGCUGUUUCCAUCGCCAGCCACUGCUCUUCCUUUUCCCCUUCUCCUUUUCACGUGAAUAGUGGAGAGUGGAGAGCAGCUCACCACCGACCUCUGCUGUUUCCAUCGCCAGCCACUGCUCUUCCUCUUCCCCUUCUCCUUCAUCUUUUACGUUCUCCACUGUUAAUGUGAACAGUGGAAAGCAGCUCAUUACCGGCCUCUGCCAUUUUCACCGCCAGCCACUGCUCUUCCCCUUCCCCUUCCCCUUCGUCUUCUGCAUUCUCCACUGUUCACGUUGCAUGUGAACAGUGGAGAGUAGCUCACCACCGGCCUCCAUUGUUUCCACCGCCAGCCAUUGCUCUUCCUCUUCCCCUUCUCCUUCUCCUUCAUCUUCUGUAUUCUCCACUGUUCACGUGAACAGUGGAGAGCGUCUCCACUGUUCAUGACCGGACCGAGUCAAACCCAAACCUAAAUGCAUUGGACCGGGUCCGACCCAAUAAAAUUAAAAAAAAUCCAAAAAAAUUUCUUAGAUAUUGUGUUUUAUUUGAAAAACUAGUGUUUAAAAUUAUUCAAUGGCACUACAUAAUUAUAUUAGGAGAUCGCAUGAUAACGUAACAUUUGCAUAAUUUGAUUGCAAUCCCAAUUUUGUUCCUAAUGAUAUUUUACCCAAUGUGAUGAUAUUUUACCUGAUGUUGGUGCACAUUCAGGAAGCCAUGAAAACUAUAGUUCUUGUCGGAUGGAUUUCGUACGUGAUUGAAUUGCAAAUAGUUUAAUAAAACAAUAAAAAAUACUUUAUAUAAAGUAUUGUUUAUUUCAUGAUUUAAUAGCAGUAGUUAAAUCUAUAAUAUUUCAAUUAAAAACCAUCAAUAUUAAUAUAUGUUUUUUUUAAUUAUUUUAUAACCUUAAUUUGAAAAAUAUUCUUUAAACCAAACACAUUAAACUACUUUUUGUUCAACCUCAAUUUCAACCACAAUUUUAACCAAAUAUAUAUUUUUUCAAACCAACCUCAACUAAAAGUAAUUUUUAUAAAAACAACUUUUUCAAACUAUAACCACAACAGCUACCACAAUUCCAAAUACACACAAAGAAAACUGUACUGAUAAGCAAGUUAAAGUGCCACCAUUGAUUUAGGAUCUGCUUUAGAUCUUAUAAGGUGAAAGUAAAACACAAGGAAAUGCAUGCAUGCACACCACUAAUCUUUGAUUCUGGCGAGAACAGUGAUGACAACCAUAUAGAAUUACAUUCCAAGAUGAAGAAAUUAAUAACAGAGCAGUGCUAUAAAGCUAAAUGUGAGAACCAGAGAUUAAUAAGCAAUGCUGAAAAUUUUAUCAUGCAUAAGAUGAGAGAAGCAUAGGACAGAUUUUUCCCUCAAAUGAUUAACUAGAAUACGAGUUGCACUUCAAUUUUAAAGCUGAAAGAUGAAACAAUCAUACAAGCUCACACCUCUAUAACAGAGUGACAGUUCAUGGUGACCUCAAAGACUGCAUCAAGUCCUCCAAGCUCUCGUAACUUUUCCUUAAAGUCCCCCCCCAGUCUUCCUUGCCAUGCCAGAUGUAUCUGAAUGAAUGCAACCCAUACAGUGAAAUAAAUAAGCAAUCAGAAAAGGAGAGAGAGAGCUGUGUGAAUAAAGAAUUGUCACAAAACUAGAUGAUGGCGACCACAUAUCAAUAAUUCGAGACAUGACGUGGGGCACUUUCAUCGUGAUUAUUGUCUGUACAAUAAUGUUUGAUGCAUUAUUUCUUGUUAAGACUUUUUAGGUUGUGAAAAGUCCAAGAUGUAGCUUUUGAUUUUAUCAUUUAUAUUAAAUUGAAAUUUUGACAUAAAAUUCUAAAGAUUUUGUGGUUAAAAUUUCAAGAUCUUCGAAGAAAGACCUUUAAAUAAGGAUUUAAAGUUAUUAUGAGAUGGUCUUUAUUUACCUAUUUAGAUUUUUUUAUUUAUAUUAAAAAUUUUAAUUCAAUUAGUAUUUUACUAUUUAAAAAUUCUAAUAAUAGAUUGAUUAUAUUAAUAAUACAAAUUAUUUUUCUAUACAAAAUUUUAUUUCUAGAAUUAAUAUAAAUAAAAAUAUUUAGUUUAUUUUUUUGUUCAGGAUUCAUAUUAUUAUUUAGAUUUUUUAUAAAUAUUUAGAGAUUUUUUUUAUUUUGCUACUGUGUUAGGACUAUAACUUUAAGGUUUGGGUGUUUGGGAAAGUUAUAGCGGUUACGUUUUAAAGUGAUUUUUAUUUAAAAAUACAUCAAAAUAAUAUAUAUUUUUUAUUUUUAAAAUUAAUUUUUGACAUCAAAACAAUGCAAAAACACCAAAAAAUUAAUUUGAAAAAAAAUUAAAAUUUUUGAAAACCUUGAUUAAAAUGUUGUACCAAACACCCUCUUAGUUUUAUCUUAUUUUUAAAAAAAUAAUUCUUAACAUUAGCAAUCAAAACAAUCUAAAAACAAAAAAAUAAUUUUAAAAAAAUCAAAAUCUUUAAAAACUCCCGUCUAAAUGUUUCCUUUUAGUUUUAUCAUUGUUGCACUGCGUAAUGAUGCUCAAAAGGAAAUAGUUGAUAUAGCCGUACUUGGGGUAUUUAAGAAUGUGAUAGCGGUUACUUUUUAAAAUGUUUUUCGUUUAGAAAUGUAUCAAAAUAAUAUUUUUUUAUUUUUAAAAAAUUAUUUUUGAUAUCACCAUAUCAAAAUGAUAUGAAAACACUAAAAAAAUAUUAAUUUAAAGUAAAAAAAAUAAAAAAAAUUAAUCUUUUAUUAAAAUAUUUUUGAAAUACAGAAAUACUACGAGCUCUCAACCUGCUACAAAUAACUGCUGCAAUGGCCUUUCUUUAAUAUUUUACUUACACCAUUCUGCAAAAUAUUUUCUUUUGUACAUCCAUGGAACCCUCUUUGCCUUCUACACAAAUUCAAAGUCCAUGCUAAAAACUACAAAGAAAUGAUCUCUACCUUUCCAAAAGUUAAAGGCUUUUGGUACUUUCCGUCCUUCUUGGGAACACUCAUCUCAGUUCAAGCAAUCCACUGAUAUAUUUGUCGUCAGCUUCCAAAAACGAAGGAAAUCUUUGGUUAAGUUAAAACUCCUUUUCUCCUUCAACAGUGAAAUUCACGUGCCUUUCACACCUUUUUAAGUUCGAACAUUUCAUUUGUUCUUGUGCUCUAAAUUGAGUCUUUUUUGUGAGUUCUAUUAUUCUACUGUGUUUGGUUUAGCUUUUGUAGUUGAGGUUGUGGUAGGGUACAUGUACAAAACUCAACCACAAAAGCUAAUUUUUCUUGUUUUUUAUGGCUUUUUUAGUGGGUUCCACACUCAACCUCAACCUCCAUCUCAAAUACAAACACACACUAAAAGAUUAGAAAACGCAAGAUUGCAUCAAUGCUAAAAGCAAUUUCAAUCUCAAUGUGUGUGUCAAAUGCAUGGUGAUGUUUCAUGAUAUGUUUGUUUUGACGUUUCAAAAAUAUUUUUUUUAAACUGAAUUUUUUUAAUUUAUUUUUCGCUUCAAAUUAAUAUUUUUUGUUUUUUCAGAUUAUUUUGAUGUACUGUUGUUAAAAAUAAUUUUUUUUAAAUAAAAAAUAUUAUUUUAAUACAUUUCCGAGCAAAAAUCACUUUAAAAAAUAAUUGUUAUUACACUUCCAAACACAUCUUUAAAAGGACAAAGUUAUGGAGUUGAGGGCUCUAAAUAUUCCUCAAAAUAUCUGGCCUCAAAGCUAUUAUCGAGUCUUAAAGCUUUUGCUUUUUAUAUUGUUUUGAUGUAAAAAAUAAAUUUUAAAAAUAAAAAAAUAUUAUUUUAAUAUAUUUUUAAAUAAAAAAAUAUUUUAAAAAACAAUUACAGUAAAAUAACAAAUAAAAUAUUAAUAUGAAAUAAAAUCUAAUUCUACCAGCAGACAGCUGAUAAGAAUACUAAAAGAGUGUAAAUUUUGACUUAAUUCAAUAUUUCAAUUAUUAGAAUUUGGGGCAGCGUAACAGUGUCAAAGAAAAUGUCAGAAAAGUAAGGAAAACAGUACAAAUACCUUGGAUGAUGGUGACCAAAUAUUUGUAAUUUGAGACAUCUCGUUCUUGAAAAGAAUAGUUAAUAGUGCCAAUAAUAUUUUUUUUUAUUCACGUGACGGGUGAGCUUGUGUGUAUCUCGAUUAAUUCCCACGAAUCCUGAAAUUAAUGAUCAGGUAAGUUUCCAGUGGUCAUCAAUAUUAACAACCAUAUGGCUCGAACCUGAGACCACAAGGAGGAGCAAACCUCUUGAUCUCAAACUCUUACUAUUAGACUGCCUAUUAGAUGGUUAGUGCUAAUAAUUAAUCUGCUCUUGACUUGCUACAAAUAGCUGUCAUGAUCACAUAUUCAAAAAACACUAGUUUAUAAAUUCUAAGGGUAUCUCAACUAGUUAGACUUUAAGUAUGUUUUCCAAUAAUUAUGAGUUCGAGUCCUUUUAAGAUAAUUGAAGGUUUACACGGCGUUAACUUCAGGACCCAUAAAAUUAAUCGAGAUAUAUACAAGUUGAUUCAGAUAACCAUAUUAAUUUAAAAAAACAAACACUAGUCUAGAAAAGCAAUAUACAAGGUGAUUUUUUAGUUGACUAGUUGAAUCUGAUUUUUAUAAAAAGUAAUAUUUUAGAAGAUAAUUUUUAAUAAUUUUAGAUUUUUUAAUAUAUAAAUAUCAAAAAUAAAUUUUAAAAAAUAAAAAAAUAUUAUUUUAAUAUAAUUUUAAAUAAAAAAACAUUUGAAAAAACAAUUAAUAGUAUACUCUCAACUACCCCAAAAUAUAGGAUUAAAUUGGAUUGCGGGUUCCCCACCAUUUAAAGCUUGCAAAGAAGGAUUUGAAACACAAUCACCCUAAAGAUUUGCAAAUGGAAUAUAAUAUAAAAUAAUACCCAAUUGCAUCAGCGGACAUGUAAUCAAUAAUAUUAAAAUACGGUAAAUUUUGAUUUAAUUCAAUUAUUGGAUUCUAGGCAGCGUGACAAUGUCAGAAAAUCUUGGAUGAUGGUGACCAAACAUAUCAGUAAUUUGAGACAACACGUUCCCGAAAGGUAAUAGUUGAUGGUGCCAAAAUUUAAACCAGCUCUCAACUCGCUACAAAUAGCUGCCAUGGCCUUUCAUUCUACCAUAUAUUUAUUUUUUAACUUUCAUGGAAUCCUCUUUGCCUUCCUCCCAAAUCUUGGAUUCUGAUGGAAGUGCUGAGAGGAAAAAUGAAGCUACAAAUUGCAAUGAAGUGAUGUCCACCCUUCCAAAAGUCAAAGGCUUGAGGGGGGAUGAUUAUUACCUGUACCAAGGCUUUUGGUACGAUGCCUUCUUCUUGGAAGGACUCAUGUCUGUUCAAGAGCACUUCAAUCCUCAAUCCACUGAUAUAUUUGUCGCCAGUUUUCCAAAAACUGGCACAACUUGGCUUAAGGCCCUCACUUUUGCUAUUUUUACACGAUCCCGUUUAAGUGGUUCAACAACUAGUUCUUUACUUACCAAGAUGCCACAUGACUGUGUUCCUUUGUUGGAAAAUGACCUUGCUAAAAACCCCAGUAAUCGGGACUUGGCAAUUCCUCUGCUAUCUACUCAUGUUCCUUACAGUUGUUUACCUAAAUCUAUCAUUUCUUCUAGUUGCAAGAUUAUUUACAUUUGCAGGGACGCAAAGGAUGCUUUUGUUUCUUUGUGGUACUUUCAUGCCACGCUGCAAAGGUCGAAAAAUGUUGAGCAUCUUCCUCUGGAAGAGGCUUUUGAGCUGUUCUGCAAUGGAAUUGCAAAUUUUGGACCAUACUGGA
rnacentral:lncRNA from 1 species